UUUUUUUUUUUUUACUUGACAGUUUUUAUUAACAUUGUCAAGAAUAUCAAAAUUGCAAGCGUCAAAUAUUGUCAAUUUUGUAGCAAUGAGAUAAACAUGAUUUGAAAAAACAAACAAAGAUCAGAAUAAAAACAUUAGAUGAAUAAAAUGAAAGAAUGACUCAUCGAUAAAAAAAAAAAAAAAGGAAGACGAAUAAUUGAGUAAAACGUCGAGGGUAUUUUUGGAAUAAAAGAAAAUUAAUAUAUUUCCUCCAAUUUUUUUCUUGCCAUAGGAUGUAGAUAAUUUCAAUUUUCUUCUAUAUAAAUUUCCCUUAUUUUAAUAGAUAAAUUUGGAUCUGAUUCACUUAUUUAAUUUUUAUAUUCAUAAGAAUUUCUCCAAAGUGAAAAAAGAAAAGAAAAUAGAAAGUUUAAACACGUGUUAUUUACUCUACUCAACUCUAAAAAAAAUGUUGAUGUCUUUCUUUUGGGUGAUAAAACAUUACUGGUUUUUCAAGAGUAAAAUAUUAAAAAUAAAAAUGACUAUAAAACUAUUUACAAAAUAUAACAAACUUCAUCAAACUAUUAGUCAUUUCUUUUAAGUUUUUUUUCCUAUAUAUUUAUUAUAUUUUGUAAAUAGUUUCAAUGGUUUGUAUUUGAUAAGUCCUAACAAAAAUGUAAAUAACAAAAAUGCUAAAAAAAAUAAAAAAGUACAGUAAAAUUUUAGAUUUUUUCCAUGAUAAGUACUCACAUAUACGAUAGACUUCUAUCAAUUUUUAUUGUCAUACAAUCUUGUAAAUACUUCGGUUCAUUUUUUAUAAUAAUUCACCAUGCACAACAAAGUGUGUAUAUCCUAGAAAUUAAGUAUAUGCACUAUUUUAAUUUAGAUUUUGAUGGUUGACAAUUUCGUUUUUCAUUUUUAUCUUUUUAAAAUUAAACUUAUAACACCUCUUUCACCAUCCAACAACUGGUUUGGAUAUUUAUAUUUUUACUCAUCAAAUUUAAAAUCUAAGAAAAAAUAGUUUUAGAUAUGAGGGAAUUUUUGGAACUCAAAUUUUCAUCUCAUGGGAAAACAACACUUCAGUAGUAAAUGAAUGCUAAGCUAAAAUCACUAUUAGCACAUAGAUUUAUUUUUCUUUAGAGAUGAACAUUUUAAAAAAAUGUUUAAGUAAAAUUACUACGAGAGAAAAUAUACUUAAUUAUUUUUUUUAAAGAAAAUAAAAGAUCAAACAAAAUAGUCACUAGACGAGACUUGAAUUUCGAUAGUUUUCGAACAACGGCUAAAUAAGACACGGAAACAACUACAAGCAUGGAUAUGUAAUUUGGUAUUUUUCUCAUCGUCAUCAGGCAGUUGUUGUGAAGAAUUGUCUAGAGAAAGAAGUUUGCACCUUUUUUUUUUAAUUCACAAUUUCUCAUUAAAAAGAAACGUAGAAUACCUUUUUUAUUCUUUUGAAUUACAAAAGUAUUUGAAAUAUUCGGUGUACGGACUCCUUCUUCUUCGUGUGUUUAAUUUCUCACAUUGGCCUCUUGAAUUGAAUGCUUUUCUAAAACUAAUUUAAAAGAAAAAAAAAGAGGAUAAUUUAGAAUCAUUGGGGCCAAAUCAAAGUUUAAUUUUUUAAAAAAUAUUUGUUACUUCCACACAUAGGAUAAUGAAGAAUGUAUCUCUUUCACUUUACCAUAGUAAUGUAAAAUCCCAACUUCUCCCUAUCUUUUAUCUCAUGCAUGUGACCUAAACAAAACAACUAUUUUCAAACUAAUAAAACAAAAGCUUUGAACACAUCUAAAAAGAAAAGUAAACUUUUGAACAAUUUCAAUAAAAGUACACUUGCAAAAAUAGCAAAAUAAUUUAGGAUAAUAGAGCUCAUGUUACUACAUUUUCUAAAUUGCAAAAAUGGUAAAUUUAAAAAACGAAUAACUCUUUGAUAGUGCUUCAUAUCCCUUCGAUAGUUGUCUUAAUAUCGUUAAUUACUGGUCAUAUUUGUCAUAUUUGCAAUAUGAAAAAAAAAAAAGGUACUAUGUUCUACUUUUUUUUAUUUUUUUUUAUUGGAUGCAAUUUCCUAUAAACAAAAUUAAUAUAACUACUUGGUUGAACUACAUUUCAAACGCUAUUUGGCAUGUUUUCGAAACAUUUCAAUACGAUUAGAAGGUUUUCCACCAUUUCUUCAUAAUUUUUUAUAAAAAAUUAAGAACUAAAAAACACUUGAAAAUGUAUUCCCAAACACACCUUUACUUUUAUUUAGAAAGACUAGAAAACCUAUACUCAAAUUUCUAUGCUUUAGAUGAUAUAAGUGAUCUAAACACAGGUAAAUUAACUUCUAAAGACCUACUAAAUGUGAUUUAUAUAUGACAAUGGUAAGUACAAAUUUUAAUACUAGACCUUAAAAAGGUUAAGGUGAUCCUCCUGUUAAUUAAGCAAAAUGCAUCAAGGUCAUGUCAGAAGUUUAAAAUCUUGAAAUAUAUAUGUUCACUGUUCACUUAUACAUGAACAUAAGUUUAUUUGAAGCAUAUAUUUUAAAUAUUAUACGUAUUAUUAUUUAAAUAAAUACGUUGUGUAACUCACAAAAAGCAUGUAUAUAUAGUUUAGCUUUUGGAAUUCAAAAUUCUCAUAUUUUAAUAAACCUACUUUUCCUUCUUACUUAAUUACCUUUUAGAAGUAGAGUAUUAGAUUCCACAAAUUAAAGAAUUAAUAAUAAAUUAAGUCGAAGGAAAAGAGUGGAAUAAAUUGGAGUAGUAUAAAUUUGAAACCCCCUUGUUUACAAAGAAAUCACGAAUUAAAAAUUCCAUAAGAGCUUUGUCUGGAUUGAAAGAAAGUAAGGUAGGAAAAUGUCUUCUCAUGUAACUCUUGGAGCUUAUGGACCAUGUGAGAAUUCAGAUGGUGAACAUGCGAAAGAAGUAGCACAAUGGGCAGUAACAGAAUACAACAUAAAACACCGCCAUGAACGUCCUUACUUGUACCUUCUUAGUGUAUUGAAGUGCGAGUCGCAAGUGGUGGCUGGAACCAAUUGGCGUCUGGGGUUGAAGUGUAAGGAUGAAAAUAAUAUUGAGGUAAACUGUGAGGCUGUUGUGUGGGAGAAGAGAUGGGAGAAUUUCAGGGAGCUCAAAUCCUUCAUAGUAUUCUACCCAUCUUCUGGUUGACAAGGGAUAUCCCCUUGUAACUCCCUACCUAAAGCUAUUGCUUUUAUGCAUAUGUAUGUUAUGUACUUCCCCUCCUUUACGAUCAAUAUAUAAAGUAAAAUAUAUUUUAUUGCUUAUAUACAAAAAGUAUUGUAUUUUGAAAUUUUGGAUUAUAUUGGAUUGACAUAGUAAGUAAGCAACUAAACUGAAGUGACAAUAUAGGUAAGCAACUCAAGAAUGUAUGUAUAUACCUAUAAUGCUUUCUUUUUAAGUGUUGAAUUCACCAAACACCAUAUUUCUAAACGCUUGCAUUAUAAUUGAGUUAGCAAAUGGUUAACUUAUUAACUAAAACAAUUUAGAUGUCAGGGUGAGCAUUUUUUGAAGAUUUUCAAAAAAAUAAAUUCUUCUAAAAAAUGGAAACCAGCUAAUGGAUGAUAUUAGUUUCACAAUGUAUUUUAGCUUAGAAUUUUUUCUGACAAAAUGGACUUGAAGUUAAAGUUAACUCACUUGUAAGAAAUAAGUGCAAUCCAAGAUAUGAAAAUUUUUGGAAGGUUUAGCUAUAUCAUGUAAACCUACUUGUAAAAGAAGAGUAAAUGUAGCUUGAUCCUUUGAGAGAUACGUGUCAAUCUCUAGUUGCAACCACCAAUCAGAUUCACAUAUAAUAAGGGUAGAGGAGGCAACCACCAAAAACACAAGAUGUAACAGAAGAUUAGUUAGAGAAAAACUUCAUGAAUAUGCAGGGUGAGUGGAAAAAAAGGACAAACACAACAAGCACAUUGUAUAGUUGUCAAAGAAGUAAAAAAGUCAUUCAGUAUAAACUGUACUGUACAGCUCACAACCACAAAUUGACUACAUUGAAAGCAAAGGGUGGAUCAAUAGAAAGCGUAAUCCAACUACUCUGAAUUCAACAAACAGUAAAAUACAAAGCUAAGCAGAUCAAAACUUAUUUUAUUUCCUAAAAAAACAUAAUAUGAUCAAAGCUAAAUGAAGAGCACACUAAAGUAUGAGCUAUGUGUUUCAAUAUCAACGGAAGAAGAAACAAUACAAUUUAAUUAAAAGAAACAUAAUAUGAUCUAAAAUCUUAAGAUUCAAUUUAAAGAAACAAAUUGUCUUACCAUAUUCUAAAAUCCUAAGAUUCAAUUCAAAGAAACAAAUCACCUAUAGUUUAUUUUAUUUUCUAAAGAAACAUAAUAUGAUCAAAGUGAAACAGAUAGCACAUUAAAGCACAUAACGUUAUGUGUUUCAAUAUAGACGGAAGAAGAAGCUAUACAAUUUAAUUCAAAGAAACGGUGUAAAACAAUGAGAAAAGAAGAGGGGGGAGGGGGAGGGGGAGGGGGAGAUGUCUAAAGUGAAAGCAACAAAGUCCAUAAUGCGGAAAGGGGCAUGUCUACAUGAAAAGCAACAAAUGCAAUAUGAUUAAACUCAAUAAACGAAACUUAGCACUUCAAAACAUAAUGACACUACUCUUAAAUGGAUGAAACUCAAACAUUCUAAAACAAGGAGGGGGCAUGUCUAAAUUGAAAACUAAAAAAUGGUGUAAGCAUCAUGCACGUUGGUUUUGUCAUCAAGAAAGUAUAUAGCUGAAAGUUGUACCUCUUUAAAGAAAAUGGUAUAUAAUGUUAUGUUUGAAGUGAUAACUUUUGUAAUUGAUAAACGGAUGAAAGCCCAAGCAUAUCGAGUUGAAAGAUUUUCAAGACUUAUUACUAUUCCACCUACCAUAGCAAACAUCACAGAAGGCAAAUUAUAUCAUACAACAUUACAAAACCUAUUUUAUUUACCAUAUUGUCGACAUAAACAUAUUUGUCAAGUGCAAAUUGAAAAAACCGCCUCCAAAGUAUGAUGGUGUAGUUGCAAUUAUACUUUCAAACUUUCCAUCAUAAAAAUUGAACGCCCACAAACUUAUACAAUAAAACACCCACAAACGUGUACAAUUUCAACAACUAUGUAAGUCAAAUUUUAAUAUUUUUGUAUAAGUUUGAAGGAUUUUAAUUUUACCAUAUGACUAUGAAUGUGGUUUUUGUAAUUAAUUUACCAAUUUUUAAAGAUUGAGAUGAUUUAAAUUCCAUUUUAGUUCCUAAACUCUUAGAAGACAACUAAUUUAACACGUACUCUAUUAUUUUUCUAUCUAAUAACAGUUAUCCAAAUGUUUGUCAUUAACUUAUAUAUGAUUAUAAAACAUGUUCGAAUCGGCAUGCUAGUACUCAGACUUGAAACUAUGUCAUUGAUAAGAUCAAAAUAUCAUAUACUUUAAGAACUUAAGUACUAAACUACACUAAACUUGAAGAUAUUAUAGAAAACAGAGAGACCUGCCAUGAAAAGUGUCUUGUAUAGAUAUGAAAAUAGAAGAGAAAAAUAGAGGGAAAGAAAUGAACCUGAGAAAGCUGUUGGAUAAAAUUAAGAUGAUGAAGAAAGGAAUUCCAAAUCUCACUAAAGGUUAAACAAAUCUCACCAAAGGUUGAAUAAAAGCAACUACCGAAGAAGAAUAAAGUUAAAACAAAAGUUCUAGGUUAAUAUCUAAACAUCAAUCAUACUCGAAUGUUAGAAUAAACUUUCUAACAACUUCAAAAUAAAGAGAAGAAGAAAGGAUGUGAUGAACAACAAAUACAACCAAGUAGAGAUAAAAUUUCUGAAAAACUUAUAAUGGAGGGGUAGAAUAAUACUUGAAUGUUAGAAUAAACUUUCUUACAACUUCUUUAUUUAGGUACCUUAGAUAAAUCUGGAAUGUUUUUUUCUGAACUCUUUCCAUUCCCAAGCUUGAAAGCCAAGACAACCUAUCUUUUUCUAGAUUCUAUUUCUUAUAUGCAAAAAGUAGAAUACACGUGAUUUUCUUUAGUUCGUGAUUUUUACACUCUCUUUAGUUCGUGUUUUAUACUAACAUCUCUUUUUUCUAAUGUACGAAUUUUGUUCUUGAUUUGAAGAUGUAGAUUCAGAGCUGUUAGGAACCUUCCUGCUGAAUUUCUUCAUCAGUUGCCAAUGAGCUACUUGAAGGUAUAUGGAGUUUUAAGAAUAUGCUACUUGAAUGCACCCAAUAGUUGUUAUAGCUUAUUAGUUGAGUUAUAUCUUAUAAGUUGAGUAUUGAUAUAUGAGAAGAAAAGUUGGAAAUGAUUAAAGUUCUUCGGUUCCUAUAUAUUUCAAGUUGCCUUUUGCAAAAGUUUUUCCUUGCAGAAUACCAUAUUAUUUGCCCCUAGCCAAGUAUUGAGAUAGUUAUAAGGCAAAAACAUUUUUUUUUCUCUGUUACAAGUAACCAUUUGCACUAAUGACUGGAAAUGUGUAUUGUUCAUUGAAUAUUGCAUCUUCAUUUCCACAUUUUCUUGUUUCUAAUGGCCAUUUGUUAUGGUUAUAUCUUUGUAUCAUGUGGACGCUUGCUACUGAGUAUGGUUUUCGAAACUUGUAUUACUCUCAACUAUUAUUGUUGGUGCUCAUACUUCAAGUGUGAUCUCAUUAGUCAUCAUUUAGAUUGGUUAGUUAUAUAGGCAUUUUUUCCCUUUUUUUGUUGUGCUAAAAAAAUGUAUACUCCACUAUACUUAAAUUCCCAUUUGCCACCUACUUUGAGUUUUAUACAUUUUUUCCAUGGACAAAUCAUAAUGUUGUGCUAAAAGAACCAUGAAAAAAUGGUUUGUAAAAUUUUGCUCACAGACCCACCUUUCAAUCCUUCAAAGAACCGUGAAAAAAUGGUUUGUGAUAUUUGAAUUUCUUUCAAUGUUAUUUCAAUUUCAUUUGCUCAAUUUAAUGAGUUGGGUCAAUUUAAUCUUAUAGGUAGAGACCAUGUUUGAGAAGUACAACUUUUACUGGGGUCUUCAUUCAAAUCCAAGUAGUUUUAACUUUAUAUUGCUUAAGGUGCUUAUAAAAAUGAAUUGAAAGUCAAAAUUGUGCUUAGUUAUUUUUCUGAACUUGUCAUCUUUCUCCACUAUUUUUCUUUCUCAAUUUUUUUCUUAUAGUUUUCAUCUAAUUUUUUACUUAAUUUUUUCUUUUUGUGCUGGCAGGUUUACUGGCUGGAUUAGUCAUUGACUCUGGUGAUGGUGUCACUCAUGUGGUAAAAAAUUUACAUACUUGUCAAGAGGAGAUUUAAAGGUAUAGUUCUAAGGGUUUUUUUUUUUCUCUCUUUUUCAUUUUAUUUCUUUUUUAGCUUUCUAAUCAAUCAAUGAGUUUUUGUUGAUGGGGUUAAUUCUCUCCAGCUUUCAGAUUAUGUCUAGAUAUUGUGUUUCUAAAAGGUGAGAUUGUUGAGCUACUUUUACCCAUUGUAGUUGUCAAUCUAGCUAGAAUAAAGGAUUUGGAUAUUGAUCUUCAAAACUAAUUUCACUUCAGGUUUUUUAUUGUUUAUUUGUCAUUAGAUUAUGGUGUUCUAUUCUUCAAUGUUGCUCUGUUUUGUAGGUUUAAUCAUGCUCUAAGGUCAGUUGCAAAUAUUAUACAAACUUCACAUAUAUGGCUCUGUUUUGUUGUUUAAUUUGCUCUUCUUUUAUAGACAAGAUAUCUUCAUUUUUUGAACUGGCCUGUCAAAUGGGGGUGGUGUCAGGAUCUCCAGUCUUUUAUAUUUGUAUUUGAGAGACAUAAAAGGUGCAUUGUUGGAUCUCAUCCCACCUCGUGGUUGACGUUGAUGAGAUAUCCAACAAUGAAUCCUUAGUAUAGAAUGAGCAUCAUAUUUAACAUCAAUCAUUCAUAUAGAAUUAGCUAUCUUAUAUCAUAAAUUGAGGGCAAAACGAUACGUUUCUUUAUUUAUUUCAUCAUAGUUGGUUUUGCAACUAAUGUAACUAUGGUCUAUCACUAAUAGUAUUUAAAUGUAGAUCCCAUAAAGGGUUUAGGGUUUAGGGUUUAGGGUUUAGGGUUUGAUUGACAACAUCUUAUUCUUUUUCUUUUUUACAUUCCUUGUGCUUGCUACAGAGUAAAAUUUUCUGUGACUGUUUGCUAUAUUCAUGUUAUACUCUCUUUAAGCGAAUUAUACUCUUGCACUAUGAUGUAUGCUUAUAUUCAUGUUGGCUUUGUAGGUUCAACUAAAACCGACAACUUCAUGAGUUUUCCUUCAAAGAAGUUUAUAUGGACCAUCAAAAUACACUGGCUAGCAUGGUUCAAGCAACAAAGAAUAUUUUCAAAGAUGAAGGCUUACCGGUUGGUUGUUUAUGCUUGUGUAGAAAAUCUUGUUAUAUGUAUUCUAAUGGUAUUUACACUAGUUUUGAUUAAGGGCUGAAAUUCCAUACUUGUAAAUUGUUCAAACUUGAUUGGAAAUGUAUGAAUAUUACAAAGUGUAUUAUAGCAUAUAUAUAUAUAUUUGUUUCUAUAUGGGUGUGAUGUAUUAUAACAUUAUUGUCAUUCAAAUGGUUCGUGUGAUGGCGAAGCGGCAAGAAGAGAACAAGGAAAAACUAUAGUAAUUAAAGAAUUUGCAAUAUGAAAAAAUGUAAUAAUAUAUGAAUUCGUGACGUUCCUUAAUUGUCGUCAAUAUUAAAACAAUGACAAUUUUUUGAUUAAAAAACUGUCACAAUCGGCCUAUCUUUGACAGGGAAAAAAUGUCGUCAAUAGCGAAACAAUGACAUUUGAUUGUAUAAAAAAAACUGUCACGAUUGGCAUAUCCUUGAGAUUUAAAAUAUGUCAUAAUAAAUGAAUUUGCGACAUUUUUUUAACUGCCGUUAAUACGCAAAUGAUGACAGUUAUUUGUUGUCAUAAUAUAGAAUAUGACAGUUAUUUGUUGUCAUAAAAUAGUAAUAAACGAAAGUUAUUUUCUGUCACGAAAAAACUUAUUGCGACAGUUUUCAAAAACUGUCAUGGAAUGACUUUUCAUGACUCCCGAUACUAUGACUGUAAAUAACUGUAAAAAAUUUUAUUCGUGAGAGAAAAUAACUGUCGUUGUAGACCAUUUUUGUUGUAGUGAACUCAUACUUAAAUGUGCUAUCUGUUUCACUUUGAUCACAUUAUGUUUCUUUAGAAAAUAAAAUAAACUAUAGGUGAUUUGUUUCUUUGAAUUGAAUCUUAAGAUUUUAGAAUAUGGUAAGACAAUUUGUUUCUUUAAAUUGAAUCUUAAGAUUUUAGAUCAUAUUAUGUUUCUUUUAAUUAAAUUGUAUUGUUUCUUCUUCCGUCGAUAUUGAAACACAUAGCUCAUACUUUAGUGUGCUCUUCAUUUAGCUUUGAUCAUAUUAUGUUUUUUUAGGAAAUAAAAUAAGUUUUGAUCUGCUUAGCUUUGUAUUUUACUGUUUGUUGAAUUCAGAGUAGUUGGAUUACGCUUUCUAUUGAUCCACCCUUUGCUUUCAAUGUAGUCAAUUUGUGGUUGUGAGCUGUACAGUACAGUUUAUAUUGGAUGACUUUCUUACUUCUUUGAUUACUAUACAAUGUGCUUGUUGUGUUUGUCCUUUUUUUCCACUCACCCUGCAUAUUCAUGAAGUUUUUCUCUAACUAAUCUUCUGUUACAUCUUGUGUUUUUGGUGGUUGCCUCCUCUACCCUUCUUAUAUGUGAAUCUGAUUGGUGGUUGCAACUAGAGAUUGACACGUAUCUCUCAAAGGAUCAAGCUACAUUUACUCUUCUUUUACAAGUAGGUUUACAUGAUAUAGCUAAACCUUCCAAAAAUUUUCAUAUCUUGGAUUGCACUUAUUUCUUACAAGUGAGUUAACUUUAACUUCAAGUCCAUUUUGUCAGAAAAAAUUCUAAGCUAAAAUACAUUGUGAAACUAAUAUCAUCCAUUAGCUGGUUUCCAUUUUUUAGAAGAAUUUAUUUUUUUGAAAAUCUUCAAAAAAUGCUCACCCUGACAUCUAAAUUGUUUUAGUUAAUAAGUUAACCAUUUGCUAACUCAAUUAUAAUGCAAGCGUUUAGAAAUAUGGUGUUUGAUGAAUUCAACACUUAAAAAGAAAGCAUUAUAGGUAUAUACAUACAUUCUUGAGUUGCUUACCUAUACUGUCACUUCAGUUUAGUUGCUUACUUACUAUGUCAAUCCAAUAUAAUCCAAAAUUUCAAAAUACAAUACUUUUUGUAUAUAAGCAAUAAAGUAUACUUUACUCUAUUUUUGGUAUAUACAACCACUUAACUAAUAUACCAAACACAAAAUAUAAAAGUUAUAAAAUUGAUAUAUCAAAGUAAUUAUCAUUUAUUAUAUAUCAUAUUUAUAAAUAUGGAAGUGUUUGUAAUGUCUCAUACCAAGGAUUUAGAAUAGUGUCCAGAAUUUUCAAAUUAGACCCUUGACACGACACAUUUUUUUGCGUUAUUUAACAUAUUUAUUCAAAUACAAUUAUUAUUUAUUUUACUUUCUCUUUCACUUGAAUUUUGUAGAGGACACACCAACUUCUUCUACUAAUACAUCGCUCUCAUAUCAUGUCACACCCUAUGUAAUUAUAAAAUAGAAGAAAAGACAUGGAAAAGACAACGUAGUAAAUACAUAACGUAUAUAUUAUAGGAUUCAUUGAUUUAUUUUAUAAUCCCAUUAUUUAUAUAUAUAUAUAUAUAUAUAUUGAUCGUAAAGGAGGGGAAGUACAUAACAUACAUAUGCAUAAAAGCAAUAGCUUUUGGUAGGGAGUUACAAGGGGAUAUCCCUUGUCAGCCAGAAGAUGGGUAAAAUACUAUGAAGAAUGUGAGCUGCUUGAAAUUCUCCCAUCUCUUCUCCCACACAACAGCCUCACAGUUUACCUCAAUAUUAUUUUCAUCCUUACACUUCAACCCCAGACGCCAAUUGGUUCCAGCCACCACUUGCGACUCGCACUUCAAUACACUAAGAAGGUACAAGUAAGGACGUUCAUGGCGGUGUUUUAUGUUGUAUUCUGUUACUGCCCAUUGUGCUACUUCUUUCGCAUGUUCACCAUCUGAAUUCUCACAUGGUCCAUAACCUCCCUUAAUUGAAUCAGAAGACAUUUUCCUACCUUACUUUCUUUCAAUACACACAAAGCUCUUAUAGAAUUUUUAAUUCGUGAUUUGUUUCGAAACAAGGGGUUUCAAAUUUAUACUACUCCAAUUUAUUCCACUCUUUUCCUUCGACUUAAUUUAUUAUUAAUUCUUUAAUUUAUGGAAUCUAAUACUCUACUUCUAAAAGGUAAUUAAGCAAGAAGGAAAAGUAGGUUUAUUAAAAUAUGAUAGUUUUGAAUUCGAAAAGCUAAACUAUAUAUACAUGCUUUUUGUGAGUUACACAAUGUAUUUAUUUAAAUAAUAAUACGUAUACUAUUUAAAAUAUAUGCUUCAAAUAAACUUUUGUUCACGUUGAAGUGAACAGUGAACAAGAUUUUAAAUUUCUGACAUAACCUUGAUGCAUUUUGCUUAAUUAACUGGGGGAUCACCUUAACCUUUUUAUUGUCUAAUAUUAAAUUUUGUACCUACCAUUGUCAUAUAUAAAUCACAUCCGGUAGGUCUUUAGAAGUUAAUUUACCUGUGUUCAGAUCACUUAUAUCAUCUAAAGCAUAGAAAUUUGGGUAUAGGUUUUCUAGUCUUUCUAAAUAAAAGUAAAGGUGUGUUUGGGAAUACAUUUUCACAUGUUUUUUAGUUCUGAAUUUUUUAUAAAAAUUUAUGAAGAAAUGGUGGAAAACCUUCUAAUCAUAUUGAAGUGUUUUGAAAACAUGCCAAAUAGCGUUUGAAGUGUAGUUCAACCAAGUAGUUAUAUUAAUUUUGUUUAAAGCAAAUUGCAUCCAAUCAAAAAAAAAAAAAACUGAAAAAAGCAGCACAUAGUACCUUUUUUCUUUUUCAUAUUGCAAACAUGACAAAUUUGACAAGUAAUUAGCGAUAUUAAGACAACUAUCGAAGGGAUAUCAAGCACUAUCAGAGAGUUAUUCGUUUUUUAAAUUUACCAUUUUUGCAAUUUAGAAAAUGCAGUAACAUUGGGUCUAUUAUUCUAAAUUAUUUUGCUAUUUUUACAAGUGUACUUUUAUUUAAAUUUUUACAAGUUUACUUUUCUUUUUAGAUGUGUUCAAAGUUUUUGUUUUAUUCGUUCGAAAAUAUUUUGUUUUGUUUAGGUCACAUGCAUGAGAUAAAAGAUAGGGAGAAGUUGGGUUUUUACAUUACUAUGUUAAAGUGAAAGAGAUACAUUCUUCAUUAUCCUAUGUGUGGAAGUAACAAAUAUUUUUUAAAAAAUUAAACUUUGAUUUGGCCCCAAUGAUUCUAAAUUAUCCUCUUUUUUUUUCUUUUAAAUUAGUUUUAGAAAAGCAUUCAAUUCAAGAGGCCAAUGUGAGAAAUUAAACACACGAAGAAGGAGUCCGUACACCGAAUAUUUCAAAUACUUUUGUAAUUCAAAAGAAUAAAAAAGGUAUUCUACGUUUCUUUUUAAUGAGAAACUUGAGAUAAUGAGAUACUCCUUAUAGUUAAUUACUAGGAUAUAUACACACACUUUUUCGGGCAUUGUUUGUAAAAUAUGAACGGAAAUAUUUACAAAAUUCUAUCACAACAGAAAUAAUAGAAGUAUUGUAUCUGUCAGUAUUUAUUAUUUACCAUUGACAUAAUCUAAAAUUAUACUAUAUUUUUCUAAAAGAAGUUUAGCAUUUUUGUUAUUUACAAGUAGUAUUUUAAAAAAUAGUAAAAUAGUAAAAGAACAUUAAUGCUUUUAUAGUCGGAAAAAGAAAGACAUCUACAUUUCUUAGAGUUGAGUAGAGUAAAUAAUCACGUUUUUAACCUUUCUAUUUUUUUUUCUUUUCUUCUUUUUUAGAAAGUUUUAUGAAGAGAAAAAAUAAAUAAGUGAAUCGGAUUCAAAUUUAUCAUUAAAAAACUAUAUUUUAAAAAUAUAAUAUUAAAUAUUUGGAGGAGAGAGAGGUAAGUGAUCCAUGUAGUGUACAGUGUAUAUAAAGAAAAGUGAAGAGUUGAGUGGAGAUCAUAGAAGUUUGUGAGAUAAGAAUUAUAUAUAUCCAAUAUAUCAUCAAAAUUAGCUUAUAAUUUGAAAGUUGAGUCUUGGAUUCGUUCCUAUUAAUACUCAUCCAGUGAAACCUGAAGUGGACAUUGGUGUUGGUUGCUGUUAAUUCCUAUUAAUUCCGAUUUUGAUUCAUCAUUGUUAGACUGUACUUAAAAUUGAGGUCGACAUUGAAGCUGUUUUAGAUGUUGUCCAUGAGGUUAAUUCAAAUGGCAAAACAUUUACCCUUAAGUUGAAGCUAAAGGUCAAGCUUUUGGAUUCUGUUGACACUAAGAUUGCUGUGGUUAAAAUCUUUUGGCCACCCAUUGGCCUUCCAACCAUUUUGUCUUUCCUGUGUGUUGAAAUAAACGAACAUGAAAAACCAUGAAAUCAUGCUAUUGUAUAAUGAAAAUGGUGCUUUCUUAUGCAUCAUUCUCAUCACUUAUAUAUUUAUCGAUAAACAUAGCAGGAUAUUUCUACUAUUGUUUUUAGUGUCGCUGUUUUUCUUUUUUCAUCUUUCUUCUGCUUCUUAAAUCUCCAACUGGGUCUAAAUAUCAUGGUUCGACACUUUUUCUCGAUAAGUAAUAAUGAAUAUUGUCUAGUAAUUUUUACCUAAAUUUAAGGGGCGUUUGGGGGAAGGGUUAGGUUAUGGAAGGAUUAGUGUUAUGAUCAUGAUACUAGCAUUAUAAAUAAGAUGUGUUUGGAAAAAGGGCUAUGUGGGUAGUGUUAUGAUAAUAUGUGUUUGGUAAAAGAGUUAUUUUGGUAGUAUUUUGAAUUAUUAUUUUGUUUUCUUUUUCUUUUUCAAAUUCAUACCGUAAAUUCAAUACAUAAAAUACAUAUUUUUUUUUUAUUUAGGAAAUUGUCCUACGUUUCCUGAAAAAAAAUCGACUUACUUUCUUUAACGAUAAUGUCCAUAUUCUACAUUAUUCAACUAGUCGUCAUGUUUCACUAAAUAAACAUUUGUCUUUUCUAUGUCACGUAACCCAUAAACAUUACAAAUUUGUGGAAAUAAAAAUUUGUGGAAAUAAGAUAUACAACGUCAAGCAUAACUUCACUACGAUGAAAAUAAAUAAAAGGUCUUCUUAAGGACACGUUCGAUGGAAGAAAAUUACAAACAUAAGAAAACUACACAUAGACAUAAAUAGAAGCAUUAAAAAAAAAAAAACAAUAACGAUCUGUAAACAAGGAAGUACAAAAACAAUCACACACCAUCUCGUAAGAUCACUCUGCAGUAGUCAAUCCUCUCGUCGUCUGACACUUCAAGAAAACUUUUCAGAUCAGCUAAAUUGUUCAUAAGUAUCCGAGUGCAAGACACCCUUUCCGACCUAUUUAGCUUAGGGAUGACAUGCAACGCUCAAAUUAAGUCCUUGCGAGCAGUACUUUCAUCCUGUAGUGCUAACCGUGGCCACUCUGCAAUUAGCCUUAGCUGGUAAGUUUAAUAGUCCUUGGCAUCCUUAAUGACAUCAUCAGUAUCCACAGGCUGGCCUCUCAUCCUUCACUUUGAGCCACUUGAACCUGUCCUACUAUCGCUUGCUCGACUAGGCCAUGCAACGUCUUCUUGCGACAUGUUGAAUCCAUGUCCGAAGAUAGAAUGAAAUUUCAUAUCAUUCAGAUUCGAAUGUGGAUACUCGUACCCACUAGGCACGUUGGAACCGACGUCUGCAAAGGUCUUUGUACGUCCUCCCAUUGCCCUGUUUUUUCGAACACAUAUGACAGCUUGUCAUAAUAGGGGAACAACUUGUUCAAGAGGCCUUUUACUGCUGGAUGAGUCUGUGUAAAUAAAAAAAAAUCAAACAUGCGUUGGUUACUCCAUCACGUUUAAUAAAAAUCAAUAACAUUUAUGUCACAUUUAAAACAUCUACAUACCAUGACCCAGUUGUUCAACAAUUUCUUUUUAGCAACUAUAUGCACUUCUCAUCAUCAUUCCAUCCGAACCCAUUGCAUUCGAGGCCCUACAAUUUGGCUAUUAUUGCUUAGAAUACUCGCUUCGACGUCUUGAUACGACAGUCGAUGACAGUAAUAGAGUGGAUAUUGUAGCCUGACAACUUCACGACCAUCAUCCGAACCAAUUGUGUCAGGUAACCUGGUCUAAACGUCCCAUUGUCUAACUUCCAUCGACCAGAUCCACCGGACACUUCACGAGGUUGGCCUCCUUCUCUUUUGGCCAUACAUGCUUUUGGGUGCAUGACGAACUUGCCAUUCUGACAAUUGAAUUAAAUUCGUUCAGUGUGAUGAAUUGGAUCUAGUUAAAGAAACAUCAAUAAAAAGUAUGCAUGAAAAGGAGGUGCAACGAAGUAAGGGGAUGAAAAUGCAUACAAACAGUCAUAGAAAAUGAACAACCAAUAAAAUCAGAGUUCACAACAAAUAGUUUAGUAUGAAAUGCUAGUGGAUACGGUUGUGUAUAAGAUGGUCUUUCAUUGCAUAAAGUAAGAAAGUCAUGACUCAUAUUAUGCCUUAAACAGAACAUGGAGCUGAAAGCAAGAGCAGCAACACACAUGAUUGGUAACAUGGAUAUGGACAAGAAACAUACAAGGACAAAUGGAACUUGAAAAAAAGAAAGCAAAAGUAACUUACCUACGAAAACAAGAAGGAAUAGAGGAGGAAGUAGGAUGUGAAAGGAGGAAAACAACAUACAAUAAAAAAGAGCAAAUGAAGAGGUAUAUGUAGAGGGGUAGAAGACCAAUAAAUUAUGCCUUUAUUGACCUCAAAACAAAACAAAAAAAUAAAAGAAGAGAAUCUUUGCAAAUGACAGAUAUAUACAUCAAAAGUGAGAAGAUAGUCAAAACUUCAAAACUACCACAUUAAGGAUAAAGAAAAGUUAUGAAUAGACAAAUGCAUAAGCAAAGGUAAAAUGAAAGGAUAUUGAACAAAUAUAUUGCAGUGUUAUGGAUGGAUGGGAGUUGAUUGCAAAUAAAGAGAAUAGAUGUCACAACAAACCAGAUACAGAAUGCAUCUUUAUUGCAAAUAAAUUGGGAACUGUAAACAAGGAAGGCUGAAAUGGAAACAAAAUAGAUAUGGCAAUAUAAGAGGCAUCGAUUGCAAAAAAAAAAAAAAAAAAAAAAAAAGAGCCCAAAAAUGCAAUACGAAGAAUGCUAAGAAGAAUAAAAAUAUUUAAAAUUGAAACAAUUAAAAAAAAAAGCAUUGUAGUUUCUAACCGAGACACCCAAAUAUGCACAUAUAUGAAAGCAAAUUGAAGUAACAAAUAAAACUGAUCAGAAAUAAAAAUUCAAACAAGUUUCAAGGCAAUCCUCAUCAUCGGCUUUGAAGAAACUCAAGUUCGAGUCGCUUACCUCCAACCUUACCUUGCUCGAACAUCCCAUAUGCACAAAAUGAUAGUAAGGAUAGUGUAGCAAGUGUCCAAAUCAGUGCGAAAAGAAGUCCGAUUGGCAAAUGGAAGUCCAAGCGACAAGGGGAAGUGGAAGAAGGAAAAUCGAGUCAGAAUUGCAUGUUCACCGAGACGAGUGGUGAACAUGCAAGCAUUUGAGUUUCAAAGACAGUCUAAACUCAACCAUUCAACAAAAUCGAAAGGGAAAACUCAUUUGUUUCGGAGGCAAUGCGGUGAGCGAAGCCUUUAACAUUUCGUUGAAAGACGAAGAGUGGAAGAGAAACAAAUAUUAUAACAAGAGGGGUUUUUUUCUCCACAAGAAAAUGAAGGCCAAAGAACAACCAAUAAAGGUUGAAGAUGAGUUGAGGGGACUAGGGGAUUUCUUUUUCUCGACCAUUAAACCUAAAAUAGAGUGGUUGAAGACAAUUCAAGAGACGACGAGAAAAGAUGAAACGGGUUGAGGAAAUGAUGAAGUGGGUGUUGAAAAGAGAUUGAAGACGAGUUGAGAAGGGAUAAAAAUGAGUUGAGAGAGAGAAUACUGUACGAAGUCGUGAAGGGUUGAAAAGGCAACAUAGUGGAUUAAAGAGUCAAAACGGAAAAAUGGAAACCAUCUAAAACUAGGGUUUCCAUAAAAUAGGCCCUCAACGUGGGUUAUGGUUAUUAUAACUAAAAUCCACAGUGAUUAUUUGGGCCCGAACACACCCUAAGAAUCUCAUUUUAACAUCGAGAUUACACUCAUAGUUCAAUAUUUAUAAUUUUGUUUGGUUAUUACAUUAUCUUUACUUUUUAGCAUUAUUUUAUUUGUUGUCUUAAAUUGAUAAAAUUUUAUUGAAAAUUUUACCAUGUUUCUAAUUUAUAGUGUUGUGUUUGGUAAGUACGGUAGAAUUACAUUAUUGUUGCUUAUCAUUCACAAGCAAUCAAGGCUAAACAAUUCUUGAUGAUAAGAAGUUGCAUCACUAAUAUACACUCGAGCAGGAAUGUCAGACAUGUGUUCGAGGUGUAUUGGUGCAUGUCGGUGUUCCAAAUGCCGAUACAUGGAAAAAAGAUUGCAGUCUGAUAAAUUUUAUCAACAAAGAUCACCGACUUUGACCAUGAACUUAAGCUUAAAGAGAGUAUGUUUUUGCUAUUGGACCCAGCCUCAACGCUACCACUGAUUAAACGACAAACACCAUAAAGCUCGCUUCAAACCUCUCUUUCUAUUAUGCUCAGCCACUGCCCAACUAGGCUAGCUCAAGGACAAAUAUGUCCGAUAAUCCAUCCACCCGAUUCAGUUUCACACUCAUCUUUAAUUAAUAAGUGAGAAAAUCGUUUAAGCGUACCGAAACUACUCCUCUCACAAACUUUGAUCUCCACACACAUCUUUUUCUACAACCACUUUCCACCUUUAUAAAUAUACCACUAACUUUUGUUGAAGAUGUUGAAAAUUCCCCGUUGAAAAAACAAAAGAAACUCAAAUUUCUUGUAAAAUAAAAGAGUUAUUCCUUUCCUUACCGAUUGAUUUUAAGAUUUUGUGUACACUAAUUUUAUCUACGUUGGCAUGCAUGCAUUGCCCAUCAACAAAAUCAAAACUCAGUGACAGUCCAAGAUCAUCGGUAAAAAGUAUAGACACCCAAAAUCUUUAUCCACCAUUUAUGCUCGCAUCACAAAACACACAUUUAGAAAUAUAUAUAUAUAAUCUAAAGGAAUAUAUAUAUUUAGUUAUGAAUAAUCUUUGGUAGAUUGUGAAAAUUAUGAUCUAGGAUGCAUCUGUCUACAUACCACCAAUCUCUCUACUAUAAGAAAACAAAAUGUUUUUUUUUAAAUAACAUUUAAUUUUAAAUUCAUGGAGUGGAGAGAUAGAAAGACACAAAGAUGGAUGCAUCAUGGAUGCACCAAAAUUUUCUUCCCUAUAUAUAUAGGAGCAUUUUUUAAAAUAGCAAAAUAUAUGUAAAUACUCACAAGUUAUAGCAAAUUCAGAGUUCUGUUAAAGGUAGAAACUGAUAGACUUCUACAGACAAUGUCACCGAUAAAAGUUUAUCAAUGUCUAUUAUUGAUAGAAUCUAAAUUUUUUGUAAUAUAUUGUCAAUAUUUUGUCAAAUUUGCUAUCCUGAACGAAUUAGUUGGAGGUCAUUUGAGCUAACUCAACACGUUCACUCCCAUUCUAGCUAUCUAAUUAUUGCUUGCAAGGUGACUGCAUCAUCAUUCCUAAAACACGACAAUGGAACUGUCUAUGAAUGUAUUUGUGCUUAUUGAAAACUCUAAAACGGAGAUGUUUAUGUAUUACAUAUAAAGUAUUUACAAAAUAUUGCAAAAUUUUAGAUUUCAUCAAUGUAUUUUGAUAGAAGAGAGUGUUGUGAUCUUGGGAGGAGUAGUCCAAAUAAUAAUAAUGAAACCAAAAAAUCAUUUGCUUUAGAUAAAAUUUAAAUAAAUUUUUUAUUGUUCUCCUAACAUUAAAAUUUUUAGAUAUUUUGGUUUGUUUGAACACAGCUUUGUCAUUUAAAAUAAUUACCAUAAAAUUUAGGAUUACUUCCAAAAUAUAGUAAAAUAUUAGAACCUAUCUACUAUGCAUAUUUAUAUAUGUCAUUAUAUAAACAAAUAAUAGUCUAAUUUCACCUAUGUCAAAUGGAUAGUGAUAUUUUCUUAUAUUGCUAGAUGUUUUUAACAAUUUUAUCAUUUAAAUUUUUAGGUAUAGCAAUAUUUUUUCAAAAUUUCCAAAUGUAGAGAUAAAACAAAAUCCAAUAUAAUGAAGCAGAUUCCCAUUCUUUAUUAUUCCAAAUCAAUCCUGAUUUUGGUGCAUCACACAAUAUGUAUUUUGGGCAAUAUGUUUGAUAUACUGUACUUUAUUUUUGGUCUAUACGAUCACUUAACUAAUAUAUCAAACAUAAAAUAUAAAAGUUAUACGAUCACUUAACGAAAAUUCAGCUUUUUAUCAUAAAAUCUACUCUGUUGGGCAAAGGAGAAGCUUCAUAUCAAGCAUUUACACUGCUCAAGAUGCUCUGUGUACAACUGAUAGGGACAUUGAGAAAACCUUCAUCGAUCAUUUUGGGGAAAUCUAUACGGAAAAGAAAAGAGAUCUUUGGUUCAUUGACAACGCCCCCUGGACUCUUAUAAAAGAGACAGACCAUGAUGACCUGUGCAAAAUUUUUUCUGCAAAAGAGAUAUACAAUGCUCUAAAAAACUUCCCCAAAAAUAAAUCUUCGGGACCAGGUGGCUUUACUAUGGAGUUUCUCAAGGACACUUGGAAUUUCACAAAAGAAAAUAUAUUGGAAAUCUUCAAUGACUUCCAUAAAAAUUGCAUCAUCAACAGUAUUGUGAAUUCUACCUUUAUUGCUCUCAUUGCAAAAAAGGAUACAUGCACAGCCCCUUCGGAUUAUAGGCCCAUAAGCCUUACAACUGGUAUGUACAAGCUUAUUGCUAAAGUUAUCGCUGAAAGACUAAAACAAGUUCUGCCUAAUAUAAUCUCAGAGAACCAAUUAGCUUUCGUUAGAGGGAGGCAGAUUACGGAUGCCAUUUUGAUUGCAAAUGAAGCUGUGGAUUUCUAGAAGCAAAAAAAAAAUAAUAAUAAAAGGAUAUGUGCUCAAGCAUGUAUCGAAAAGGCUUUUGAUAAAAUCAACUGGGCUUUCAUCGAUUUUAUGCUGCAUAAAAAAGGCUUUCCACAAAAAUGGCGUAAAUGGAUUGAAGCUUGUAUUACUAGUGUUCAAUACUCCAUCCUUAUCAACGGAAGACCCAGAGGUAAAAUUAAACCCACAAGAGGCAUCCGGCAAGGUGAUCCGAUCUCUCCAUUCAUUUUUGUUCUCGUGAUGGAUUAUCUCAGCAUACUUCUUAAUCACUUGGAGAAACAAAACUUGAUAAAAGAGAGUUAGUUUCAAUGGGAAACAUAACCUUACUCAUCUCCUCUUUGCUGAUGAUAUCCUUCUUUUUAUGGAGGACGAUGAAGAAACCAUAAAUAAUAUGAGGAAUGCCCUUCGGCUUUUUGAAUUGGCCUCAGGUCUCAACAUCAACCUCAACAAAUCCACGAUCUCUCCUAUCAACAUUGAUACACAGAGAACAAAUUAUGUGACGGGCUAAAUGGGGCUUCUUAGUUAAUUUCCUACCCUAUUCAAUAUUUGGGAACCGAACUCUAGACAUUUUUGGUCUGAAACAACGAAAAAACUCCAGAAGAAAAUCAACAACUGGAAAUAUGCUUCUCUUUCCAGAGGUAGCAAGAUAACUCUUAUUAAAGCUACAUUAGCUAGCAUUCCUAAUUAUCACAUUUCGGUUUUCAAGCCCCCAAAUCUGUCUACAAAGAUAUUGAAACAAUAUGGAGAAAUUUCCUCUGGAGAGACACCUUUGAUAAGAAAAACACCAACCUCAUCAAAUGGUCAACGGUGCUGUCUCCUAUCAACAAAGGUGGCCUGGGCAUUAACAGCGUUCAAAGUACAAAUUUUGCUCUACUAAGCAAGUGGAUCUGGAGAUUUUAUGGAGAAAAUAAUCCUCUGUGGAAACGCAUAAUCACUGCUAAAUAUGAACAAUCGAUCAUAUUUGGGUGAACUUCCAACCAAAAGCAAAUAUAGCAGCUCCAAAGCACCCUGGAUGUCUAUCAUUAAAGGAGUUGACUGGGUCCUUCCUCAAAUCAAAUGGUCCAUUAAAAGGGGAGACUCCCUCUUGUUCUGGCACAGCCGAUGGCAUGAACUUAGUCCAUUCACACAGACCAACCCAAGAUUAUUUGCUCUUUCUACCAAGAAAGGAGAUUCCAUUGCAAACAUGUGGAAUGCAGAAAAAGCCGACUGGGACCUCUACCCUCGAAGACCGUUAAGAAGUGUCGAGGAAGUUCUUUGGGAAGAUAUGAAAGUCUCCCUCCCUCCCUUGCCUGAUUCAGGAUUUGACAAUCCUCGUUGGACUUUAAACAACAAUGGCAGCUUCACUGUGGCUUCCAUCAAACUUGCAAGACCUCUAAACAACCAAGACGAGACCAACGAAGAUGAUGGGGAGAUCUAUAACAACUUAUGGAAAUCUACCAUCCCCAAAAGAUGCAAAUUCUUCGUAUGGACUCUCCUACAUGAGUGUAUCAAUACAAUGGAUAUGCUACAGAGAAGGCUCCCAACGUGGAAUUUAAAGCCCUCUUGGUGCAUCCUAUGCAAAGCUGCUGAGGAAGACAGACAACAUUUUUUCACCCACUGCCCCUUCUCAACAAAUCUCUUGAAGAAAGUUGAAGUUAUACUGGGCAAAUCCCUGCUCUUUCCAAAUUCCACUACCUUAUGCAAAGAUCUCUUCAAAACAAAAGGUAAAACGAAAAAGCAAACUAUCAAACAAUACCUGGUGGCUGCUACUCUUUGGAACAUUUGGAAUGAAAGAAACAGAAUGAUUUUUAGGGGGGAAGAAAAAAAAGUUGAUUCUGUAUGAGAAGACAUACAAGCCAUAACGGGUUUUUGGACAAGCCGAUCUUCUCUCUUCAAAAAUUACUCGCCUAGCUCUAUUGCAUUAAACUUAGAUGCUUUUUAGCGUUUCAAGUUUCUUGGGCUUCCCUCUAGCCCUCUAUUAUCUCCUGCUUCUUGUAUUUACCUUUGAUAUUUUAAUGAAGCAGGAUUGAAGGGGCUGCUUUGGAACGUCUUCCUUGUGAAGAUUUCCCUUUGCAUCAUCUUUCAUAAUGUAUCUUUAUAAAUAAAAAAAUAAUUAUCAUUUAUUAUAUAUCAUUAUUACUAGGAAAGUGUUUGUAAUGUUUCAAGCCUAGGAUUUAGACUAGUAUCCAAAAUUCUCAAUUUGAACACUUGACACUUUCGACACAUUCGUUAUUUAACAUAUUUAUUCAAAUACUAUCAUUAUUUGGCUUUAUUUUCACUUUUCUCUUUUAAGUUGAAUUUUGUGGAGGACACACCAACUUCUUCUACUAAUACAUCACUCUCAUAUCAUGUCACACCAUAUGUAAUUAUAAAAUAGAAGAAAACACAACAUAGUAAAUACAUAACGUAUAUAUAUUAUAGGAUUAAUUGAUUUAUUUUAUAAUACCAUUAUUUAUAGGUAUAUAUAUAUAUAUAUAUUGAUCGUAAAGGAGGGGAAGUACAUAACAUACAUAUGCAUAAAAGCAAUAGCUUUAGGUAGGGAGUUACAAGGGGAUAUCCCUUGUCAACCAGAAGAUGGGUAGAAUACUAUGAAGGAUGUGAGCUCCUUGAAAUUCUCCCAUUCCUUCUCCCACACAACAGCCUCACAGUUUACCUCAAUAUUAUUUUCAUCCUUACACUUCAACUCCAGACGCCAAUUGGUUCCACCCACCACUUGCGACUCGCACUUCAAUACACUAAGAAGGUACAAGUAAGGACGUUCAUGGCGGUGUUUUAGGUUGUAUUCUGUUACUGCCCAUUGUGCUACUUCUUUCGCAUGUGGACCAUCUGAAUUCUCACAUGGUCGAUAAUCUCCAACAAUUACAUGAGAAGACAUUUUUCUACCUUACUUUCUUUCAAUACACACAAAGCUCUUAUGGAAUUUUUAAUUCGUGAUUUGUUUCGAAACAAGGGGGUUUCAAAUUUAUACUACUCCAAUUUAUUCCACUCUUUUCCUUCGACUUAAUUUAUUAUUAAUUCUUUAAUUUGUGGAAUCUAAUACUCUACUUCUAAAAGGUAAUUAAGUAAGAAGGAAAAGUAGGUUUAUUAAAAUAUGAGAAUUUUGAAUUCCAAAAGCUAAACUAUAUAUACAUGCUUUUUGUGAGUUACACAACGUAUUUAUUUAAAUAAUAAUUCAUAUAAUAUUUAAAAUAUAUGCUUCAAAAAUAAACUUCUGUUCAUGUAUAAGUGAACAGUGAACAUAUAUAUUUCAAGAUUUUAAAUUUCUGACAUGCAUGACCUCGCAUUUUGCUUAAUUAACAGGAGGAUCACCUUAACCUUUUUAAGGUCUAGUAUUAAAAUUUGUACUUACCAUUGUCAUAUAUAAAUCACAUUUAGUAGGUCUUUAGAAGUUAAUUUACCUGUGUUUAGAUCACUUAUAUCAUCUAAAGCAUAGAAAUUUGAGUAUAGGUUUUCUAGUCUUUCUAAAUAAAAGUAAAGGUGUGUUUGGGAAUACAUUUUCAAGUGUUUUUUAGUUCUUAAUUUUUUAUAAAAAAUUAUGAAGAAAUGGUGGAAAACCUUCUAAUCGUAUUGAAAUGUUUCGAAAACAUGCCAAAUAGCGUUUGAAAUGUAGUUCAACCAAGUAGUUAUAUUAAUUUUGUUUAUAGGAAAUUGCAUCCAAUAAAAAAAAAUAAAAAAAAGUAGAACAUAGUACCUUUUUUUUUUUUCAUAUUGCAAAUAUGACAAAUAUGACCAGUAAUUAACGAUAUUAAGACAACUAUCGAAGGGAUAUGAAGCACUAUCAAAGAGUUAUUCGUUUUUUAAAUUUACCAUUUUUGCAAUUUAGAAAAUGUAGUAACAUGAGCUCUAUUAUCCUAAAUUAUUUUGCUAUUUUUGCAAGUGUACUUUUAUUGAAAUUGUUCAAAAGUUUACUUUUCUUUUUAGAUGUGUUCAAAGCUUUUGUUUUAUUAGUUUGAAAAUAGUUGUUUUGUUUAGGUCACAUGCAUGAGAUAAAAGAUAGGGAGAAGUUGGGAUUUUACAUUACUAUGGUAAAGUGAAAGAGAUACAUUCUUCAUUAUCCUAUGUGUGGAAGUAACAAAUAUUUUUUAAAAAAUUAAACUUUGAUUUGGCCCCAAUGAUUCUAAAUUAUCCUCUUUUUUUUUUCUUUUAAAUUAGUUUUAGAAAAGCAUUCAAUUCAAGAGGCCAAUGUGAGAAAUUAAACACACGAAGAAGAAGGAGUCCGUACACCGAAUAUUUCAAAUACUUUUGUAAUUCAAAAGAAUAAAAAAGGUAUUCUACGUUUCUUUUUAAUGAGAAAUUGUGAAUUAAAAAAAAAAGGUGCAAACUUCUUUCUCUAGACAAUUCUUCACAACAACUGCCUGAUGACGAUGAGAAAAAUACCAAAUUACAUAUCCAUGCUUGUAGUUGUUUCCGUGUCUUAUUUAGCCGUUGUUCGAAAACUAUCGAAAUUCAAGUCUCGUCUAGUGACUAUUUUGUUUGAUCUUUUAUUUUCUUUAAAAAAAAUAAUUAAGUAUAUUUUCUCUCGUAGUAAUUUUACUUAAACAUUUUUUUAAAAUGUUCAUCUCUAAAGAAAAAUAAAUCUAUGUGCUAAUAGUGAUUUUAGCUUAGCAUUCAUUUACUACUGAAGUGUUGUUUUCCCAUGAGAUGAAAAUUUGAGUUCCAAAAAUUCCCUCAUAUCUAAAACUAUUUUUUCUUAGAUUUUAAAUUUGAUGAGUAAAAAUAUAAAUAUCCAAACCAGUUGUUGGAUGGUGAAAGAGGUGUUAUAAGUUUAAUUUUAAAAAGAUAAAAAUGAAAAACGAAAUUGUCAACCAUCAAAAUCUAAAUUAAAAUAGUGCAUAUACUUAAUUUCUAGGAUAUACACACUUUGUUGUGCAUGGUGAAUUAUUAUAAAAAAUGAACCGAAGUAUUUACAAGAUUGUAUGACAAUAAAAAUUGAUAGAAGUCUAUCGUAUAUGUGAGUACUUAUCAUGGAAAAAAUCUAAAAUUUUACUGUACUUUUUUAUUUUUUUUAGCAUUUUUGUUAUUUACAUUUUUGUUAGGACUUAUCAAAUACAAACCAUUGAAACUAUUUACAAAAUAUAAUAAAUAUAUAGGAAAAAAAACUUAAAAGAAAUGACUAAUAGUUUGAUGAAGUUUGUUAUAUUUUGUAAAUAGUUUUAUAGUCAUUUUUAUUUUUAAUAUUUUACUCUUGAAAAACCAGUAAUGUUUUAUCACCCAAAAGAAAGACAUCAACAUUUUUUUUAGAGUUGAGUAGAGUAAAUAACACGUGUUUAAACUUUCUAUUUUCUUUUCUUUUUUCACUUUGGAGAAAUUCUUAUGAAUAUAAAAAUUAAAUAAGUGAAUCAGAUCCAAAUUUAUCUAUUAAAAUAAGGGAAAUUUAUAUAGAAGAAAAUUGAAAUUAUCUACAUCCUAUGGCAAGAAAAAAAUUGGAGGAAAUAUAUUAAUUUUCUUUUAUUCCAAAAAUACCCUCGACGUUUUACUCAAUUAUUCGUCUUCCUUUUUUUUUUUUUUUAUCGAUGAGUCAUUCUUUCAUUUUAUUCAUCUAAUGUUUUUAUUCUGAUCUUUGUUUGUUUUUUCAAAUCAUGUUUAUCUCAUUGCUACAAAAUUGACAAUAUUUGACGCUUGCAAUUUUGAUAUUCUUGACAAUGUUAAUAAAAACUGUCAAGUAAAAAAAAAAAAACGUAAAAAAUAAUCAAUAGUAAAAAAAUGUAUAAAUAUUUAUCUUUUAUUUUAAAUACUUUGAGUUAACUUUAACUUCAAAUCCAUUUUGUUAGAAAAAGUCCUGAGCUAAAAUACAUUGUGAAACCAAUAUCAUCCAUUAGCUAGUUUCCAUUUUUUAGAAGGAUUUAUUUUUUUGAAAAUCUUCAAAAAAUGCUCACCAACAUCUAAAUUGUUUUAGUUAAUAAGUUAACCAUUUGCUAACUCUAUUAUAAUGCAAGCGUUUAAAAAUACCGUGUUUGGUGAAUUCAACACUUAAAAAGAAAGCAUUAUAGGUAUAUACAUACAUUCGUUUGUUGCUUACCUAUACUGCCACUUCAGUUUAGUUGCUUUGUCAAUCCAAUAUAGUCCAAAAUUUCAAAAUACAAUACUUAUUGUAUAUCAGUCAUAAAAUGUACUUUAUUUUUGGUAUAUACGAUCACUUAACUAAUAUACCAAACAUAAAAUAUAAAAGUUAUAAAAUUGAUAUAUCAAAAUAAUUAUCAUUUAUUAUAUAUCAUAUCUAUCCGCAGUGUUUGUAAUGUCCCAAGCAUAGAAUUUAGACUAGUAUCCAAAAUUCUUAGAUUGGACACUUGACACUUUCGACACAUUUUUCUGCGUUAUUUAACAUAUUUAUUCAAAUACUAUCAUUAUUUAGCUUUAUUAUACUUUUCUUUUUGUAGAGGACACACCAAAACUUCUUCGACUAAUAUCUCGCUCUCUUAUCAUAUCACACCAUUUUUGGAGUAAGUACAUAACUUAUAUAUUUUUGGAGUAAUUGAUUUAUUUUAUAAUCUCCUUAUUUAUAGAUCUAUAUAUGAGGGGAAGUACAUAACAUAGUAUAUACUUAUGCAUAAAAGCAAUAAGUUUAGGUAGGGAGUAAGUUUAUUCAUGAGAAAGGACAGGUAUGAUUCGUACGAAGGAUGUGAGCUGCCUGAAAUUUUCCCAUACCUUCUCCCACACAACGGCCUGAUAGAUUUCCACACAAUUAUUUUCAUCCUUACACUCCAACAGCAGACGCCAAUUGGUUCCAGCCACCACUUGCGACUCGCACUUCAAUACUCUAACAAGGUACAAGUAAUGACCUUCAGGGCGGUGUUUUAUGUUGUAUUCUGUUACUGCCCAUUGUGCUACAUCUUUCGCAUGUUCACCAUCUGAAUUCUCACAUGGUCGAUAAUCUCCAACAAUUGGUUCAGGAGACAUUUUUCUACCUUUCUUUCAAUCCACACAAAGCUCUUAUGGAAUUUUUAAUUCGUGAUUUGUUUCGAAACAAGGGGGUUUCAAAUUUAUACUACUCCAAUUUAUUCUACUCUUUUCCUUCGACUUAAUUUAUUAUUAAUUCUUUAAUUUGUGGAAUCUAAUACUCUACUUCUAAAAGGUAAUUAAGUAAGAAGGAAAAGUAGUUUAUUAAAAUAUGAGAAUUUUGAAUUCCAAAAGCUAAACUAUAUAUACAUGCUUUUUUUGAGUUACAUAACGUAUUUAUUUAAAUAAUAAUAUGUAUAAUAUUUAAAAUAUAUGCUUCAAAUAAACUUGUGUUCAUGUGAACAGUGAACAUAUAUAUUUCAAGAUUUUAAAUUUCUGACAUGACCUUGAUGCAUUCUUGCUUAAUUAACAGGAUGAUCGCCUUAACCUUUUUAUUGUCUAAUAUUAAAAUUUGUACCUACCAUUGUCAAAUAGCGUUUGAAGUGUAGUUCAACCAAGUAGUUAUAUUAAUUUUGUUUAAAGGAAAUUGCAUCCAAUCAAGAAAAAAAAAUCGAAAAAACCAGCACAUAGUACCUUUUUUUUUCAUAUUGCAAAUAUGACAAAUAUGACAAGUAAUUAACGAUAUUAAGACAACUAUCGAAGGGAUAUUAAGCACUAUCAGAGGGUUAUUCGUUUUUUAAAUUUACCAUUUUUGUAAUUUAGAAAAUGUAGUAACAUGAGCUCUAUUAUCCUCAAUUAUUUUGCUAUUUUUGCAAGUGUACUUUUAUUUAAAUUGUUCAAAAGUUUACUUUUCUUUUUAGAUGUGUUCAAAGUUUUUGUUUUAUUCGUUUGAAAAUAGUUGUUUUGUUUAGAUCACAUGCAUGAAAUAAAAGAUAGGGAGAAGUUGGGUUUUUACAUUACUAUGUUAAAGUGAAAGAGAUACAUUCUUCAUUAUCCUAUGUGUGGAACUAACAAUUUUUUCUAAAAAAUUAAACAUUGAUUUUGCCCCAAUGAUUCUAAAUUAUCCUUUUUUUUCUUCUUUUAAAUUAGUUUUAGAAAAGCAUUCAAUUCAAGAGGGCCAAUGUGAGAAAUUAAACACACGAAGAAGGAGUCCGAAUAUUUCAAAUACUUUUGUAAUUCAAAAGAAUAAAAAAGGUAUUCUACGUUUCAUUUUAAUGAGAAACUUAAGAUAAUGAGAUGCUCCUUAUAGUUAAUUACUAGGAUAUAUAUACACACUUUGUCCGACAUUGUUGGUAAAAUAUGAACAGAAAAAUUUACAAAAUUCUAUCACAACAUAAAUAAUAGAAGCCUACCGUAUCUGUCAGUAUUUAUUGUUUACUAUUGACAUAAUCUAAAAUUUUACUAUAUUUUGCUAAAAGAAGUUUAGCAUUUUUGUUAAUUACAAGUAGUAUUUUAGAAAAUAGUAAGAAUAUGCACUAGUAGAAAAGUGGUCUAUGACGACAGUUAUUUACUGUCGUAAACGAAAUUCGCGACAAUUAUUUUCAGUCAUAGAAGCGGGAGUCAUGGAAAGUCCUUCGAUGACAGUUUUUGACAGUUUUUAAAAACUGUUACAAUAAGUUUUUAUGAUAUGAAAUAAAUGUCGUUAAUCAGAAUUCAACGACGUCAAAUAACUGUCAUAUUUUAUUUUAUGACAACAAAUAACUAUCAUCAUUUGUGUAUUAACGACGGUUAAAUAAAUGUCGCGAAUUCAUUUAUUGUGACAUUUUUUAAUUGUCAUGAAUAUGUUAAUCGCGACAAUUUUUUUUGUAUAAAAAUGUUAUUGUUUUGCUAUUGACGACAUUUUUUUCCUGUCACAUAUAGGGCAAUCGUGAUGAUUUAUUUUAUUAAACAACUGUCAUCGUUUUCGGAUUGACAACAAUUAAUAACUGUCACAAAUUCAUUUAUUACUUCAUUUAUUUUCUGUUGCAAAUUUCUAAAUUUACUACAGUUUUUUUCCUGUUCUCCUUGUCGCUCCACCAUUACAUGAACCAUUUGAAUGAUAAUAAUGUAACUGAGAAUGAAAAUUUUGAAUUUAUAAUAUUGACACCCAUAUAGAAAAAUGUAGUCAACACUUUAAUUUUAAUAUAUAUGAUAUAAUACAAUUUAUAAUAUCCGUACAUUUCCAAUCAAGUGUCAACAAUUUACAAGUACGGAAUCUCAACCCUUAAUCAAAAAAUAUUUUAAAUAGCAUUAGAAUACAUCUAACAAGAUUUUAUGCAGAAGCAUAAACGACCAACCGAGAAUGUUCGUCUCUGAAAAUGUUCUUUGAAAGAAAACUCAUGAAGUUGUCGACUCCGGUUGAACCUACAAAGACAACAUGAAUAUAAGCAUCCAUAACACAUACAUUUGUGAACCAACAUUACCACAACAAAGAAGAAAAUGGAGGACUACCAUGUAGUAAUGUGAAUGUAAAAGAAACAUUAUAUAUAUUAUGAAUCUUGUUUCUAAUCAAGAACUUAUUUCCUAACCAUGUACUUGAUGAGCGUUUGUAGAAUUUAAUAUCAGCAACCAAAAUCUAUAAACUAAUUCAAGAUAGAGCGAGCUUAUGUUGUAAAAGAACACCUUAGAAUAAAUAUAAUAGAGGAACGCAUGAAUUUCAGCACACAUGACAAAGUAAACUUUUUGAAGGUAGGAAUCCUAUAUAAAAUUCCCUAAACCCUGGAGUCGUCUCCCAAUUUCUCUUUUAAGUUUCCGAAGCCAAAACAAUGCAGUUUAAAAUAUUUGAAGAGAAUUAUUGGUGACGUAAACGAAUAAAUAUAAGUGAUAUAAGCAUUUUUAGGGAUAUAAGCAUUUAAGAAUACCCCAUCUCCAUUUUUUAUGAAGUUAAUCUUGCCACAACAACUGCAGCAGCCUCUUGAUCAAACCCUUGCACCAAUUCCUGAAAUCAAUGCCUCAAAUAUUUAGGUUUUCUCCAACAUCGAGAUAGAGAAAGAGAACCAAACAGAGAGAAUUCAUCUGUUUGUAUUGACUUCUCAUUAUUCAUGGAGACAAAAAGAGACAAAUACAGAGAGUUCAAGUGUGUGUAUGUGUGCAUAAAGCACUAGAUAGGGUUGAGGUUUAGGGCACAUCAAACCAAUAUAUAUACAACCACUCCUGAAUAUUUUUCAUGAAUAGAAAUGAUGGUGUUCAUUUGUACAUGCAAAGUGCAAAAUGUCAAUUGCAAAAUGUCAACCAUGAAAUAUAUAAUCCUGUUCUCACAAGUAAUUCCCACAAACUAAUUUUUCCUAGUUACUUGGGUUGAGGUUUCUUCAGACAUGUACACGAUGGAAGAAGUGAGAUGAGAUCGAAGCUUCAAGUAUAAGAAUGCAAAGCACUCUCUCACCCCUGUUUCUUGCAAUAAAACUCUCAAAAUUAAAUAUAGUAACAAACAUUAGCUAUUCUUUAGUUAACUCAACUGGCAUAGUAGGUAGUUUUUCUUGGAGUGUAUAAAUAUUUGAAAUGCAAUGAAACGAGGAAUCCACAAUGAAAAAACAGACAAAAGAUAUUUCAAGAUAUUUUGGGUUUUCAAUCUAGAGAAGCUCUUUACCUAAACAGAAUAUAACAGGUAAAUGACGUUAUAAAAGACAUAUCAAAACUCACUAAAUUAAGUUGUAAAACAACAUCCGAUACCAAAUGGCUUAUAUAUAUUCCAGUAACAAAAACCUUGGGAGAAAUAAAAGAGAUUAUUCUACAUAUUCAUAAAACAUUUAACAUGGUUUCAAUAUUUCCUUCAUCAUCGAGCAAGGAGGUAGGCGAGUUGUGUCGAGCCCGACAAGUUGCAAUGUGUGGAUAAAGGAAAACCGAAAGUCCUUUGAAUAUGUGUAGAAGACUUACGAUGAGCACGGUGAGUUGGGCGAGGAGUGCGCGAGUGGUGGAGUCUCAGCCGUCGACGAUGGAGUGGAGCUUGGGGCGGUGGAUAGUUAGGGAUUUUUGAAAAAAAAAACUUGGAGAAGGGGGAAGAAAAAUAGGAAUUUUCAUGAAAUUGGUAGAGAGAAAGGAGGAAGAAAAUAGGGAUUUUUGUGGUGGGCGGUCGUGGCUUUCGUGGAUGAGAAAUUUUGGGGGAGAAAGUUUGAAGUUAGGAGAAGAAUUGGUGGAUGCAGAAAAUAUGAGUAAAAAUUUGGGGAAGAUAAUUAGGGCUUUUUAGAAAUUGGGGGAAAAGGAAAUCUUGGGAAAAAAAGGAAAAAGUUUUUUUUUUUUUACAAAAUUGGAGAAAAAUGGAAAAUUUGAGAAAAAAUUGAAAAAAAAUUGUUUGUAUUACUCGACAUUUUUUAAAUGUCAAGUAAAUAAAAUUAGUUUUGACGUUUUUAAUCAGUCAAGUAUUUAAAAUAAAAAAUAAAAAAUAAAUAUUUAUGCAUUUUUUUCCUAUUGGUUAUUCUUGACGUUUUUUUUCUACUUGACAACUUUUAAUAAAACUGUCAAGAAUAUCAAGACUGUAAGCGUCAAAUAUUGUCAGAUUUGUAGCAAUGAGAUGGACACUAUUUGAAAAAACAAACAAAGAUCAGAAUAAAAACAAUGGAUGAAUAAAUCUAAAGAAUGACUCACCGAUAAAAAAAAAAAAAAGAUGGAAGGCGAAUAUUUGAGUAAAAAGUUAGGUGUAUUUUUGAAAUAAAAGAAAAUUAAUAUAUUUCCUCAAAUUUAUAAAAGAUAGUUUCAAUUUUCUCAUAUAUACGUAAAUUUUCCUUAUUUUAAUGGAUAAAUUUGGAUCCGAUUCACUAGUUUAUUCUAUAUCCAUAAGAAUUUCUCAAAAAUGAAAAAAGAAAAGAAAAAAGAAAGGUUAAAAACGUUGUUAUUUACUCUACUCAACUCUAAAAAAAUGUUGACAUCUUUCUUUUCGGGGAUAAAAACAUUAAUGGUUUUUCAAGAGUAAAAUAUUAAAAAUAAAUAAUUUAUCAAACCAGUUGUAAAUAAAAUAUAAAACUAUUUACAAAAUAUAACAAAAUUCAUCAAUGUAUCAGCCGUUUUUUAAGUCUUUUUUUUAUAUAUUUGCUAUAUUUUGUAAAUAGUUUCAAUGGUUUGUUAUUUUUUAAAAUACCUCGAUUUUAUUAAUAGACCAAUAUUGGAUUAGUCUAUUACAUUUUAGAAAAGUCAUGUAAAUAACAAAAAUGCUUUUCUUCAUGUGUUUCUUGUUCUUUCUUUAAACCUCAAAUCCAUACUUUUACUAACAUAUAUACUCAAAUUGGCCUCUUCAAUAACAUAUAUACUCAAAUUGGCCUCUUGAAUUGCAUGCUUUUCUAAAACUAAUUUAAAAGACAAAAAAGGAUAAUUUAGAAUCAUUGGGGCAAAAUCAAUGUUUAAUUUUUCUUAAAAAAAUUGUUAGUUCCACACAUAGGAUAAUGAAGAAUGUAUCUCUUUCACUUUAACAUAGUAAUGCAAAAUCCCAACUUCUCCCUAUCUUUUAUUUCAUGCAUGUGAUCUAAACAAAACAACUAUUUUCAAACGAAUAAAACAAAAAUUUGAACACAUCUUAAAAGAAAAGUAAACUUUUGAACAAUUUAAAUAAAAGUACACUUGCAAAAAUAGCAAAAUAAUUUAGGAUAAUAGAGCUCAUGUUACUACAUUUUCUAAAUUACAAAAAUGGUAAAUUUAAAAACGAAUAACUCUUUGAUAGUGCUCCAUAUCCCUUCGAUAGUUGUCUUAAUAUCGUUAAUUACUUGUCAUAUUUGUCAUAUUUGCAAUAUGAAAAAAAAAUGUACUAUGUUCUGCUUUUUUCGAUUUUUUUUUUAUUGGAUGCAAUUUCCUUUAAACAAAAUUAAUAUAACUACUUGGUUGAACUACAUUUCAAACGCUAUUUGGCAUGUUUUCGAAACACUUCAAUAUGAUUAGAAGGUUUUCCACCAUUUCUUCAUAAUUUUUUAUAAAAAAUUAAGAACUAAAAAACACUUGAAAAUGUAUUCCCAAACACACCUUUACUUUUAUUUAGAAAGACUAGAAAACCUAUACUCAAAUUUCUAUGCUUUAGAUGAUAUAAGUGAUCUAAACACAGGUAAAUUCACUUCUAAAGACCUACUAAAUGUGAUUUAUAUAUGACAAUGGUAGGUACAAAUUUUAAUACUAGACAAUAAAAAUGUUAAGGUGAUCCUCCUGUUAAUUAAGCAAAAUGCAUCAAGGUCAUGUCAGAAGUUUAAAAUCUUGAAAUAUAUAUGUUCACUGUUCACUUAUACAUGAACAUAAGUUUAUUUGAAGCAUAUAUUUUAAAUAUAAUACAUAUUAUUAUUUAAAUAAAUACGUUGUGUAACUCACAAAAAGCAUGUAUAUAUAGUUUAGCUUUUGGAAUUCAAAAUUCUCAUAUUUUAAUAAACUACUUUUCCUUCUUACUUAAUUACCUUUUAGAAGUAGAGUAUUAGAUUCCACAAAUUAAAGAAUUAAUAAUAAAUUAAGUCGAAGGAAAAGAGUGGAAUAAAUUGGAGUAGUAUAAAUUUGAAACACCCUUGUUUCGAAACAAAUCACGAAUUAAAAAUUCCAUAAGAGCUUUGUGUGGAUUGAAAGAAAGGUAGAAAAAUGUCUCCUGAACCAAUUGUUGGAGAUUAUCGACCAUGUGAGAAUUCAGAUGGUGAACAUGCGAAAGAAGUAGCACAAUGGGCAGUAACAGAAUACAACAUAAAACACCGCCAUGAACGUCCUUACUUGUACCUUCUUAGUGUAUUGAAGUGCGAGUCGCAAGUGGUGGCUGGAACCAAUUGGCGUCUGGGGUUGAAGUGUAAGGAUGAAAAUAAUAUUGAGGUAAACUGUGAGGCUGUUGUGUGGGAGAAGAGAUGGGAGAAUUUCUUGGAGCUCACAUCCUUCGUAGUAUUCUACCCAUCUUCUGGCUGACAAGGGAUAUCCCUUGUAACUCCCACCUAAAGUUAUUGCUUUUAUGCAUAUGUAUGUUAUGUACUCCCCUCCUUUACUAUCAAUAUAUAUAGAUCUAUAAAUAAUGGGAUUAUAAAAUAAAUUAAUUAAUCCUAUCAAUAUAUAUGUAUGUUAUGUAUUUUCUAUAUUGUCUUUUGCAUUUCUUUUCUUCUAUUUUAUUUUUAUAAUUACAUAUAGCGUGACAUGAUAUGAGAGAAGAAGAAGUUGGUGUGUUCGUCUACAAAAUUCAACUUGAAGAGAAAAGUAAAAUAAAGCCAAUUAAUGACCGUAUUUGAAUAAAUAUGUUAAAUAGCACAGAAAAAUGUGUUCAAAGUCUGUCAAAUAUGAGAAUUUUAUAUACGGGUCUAAAUCGUAGGUUGGACGUUACAAACACUUUCCUACUAAUAAAUAUGAUAUAUACUAAAUGAUAACUACUUUGAUAUAUCAAUUUUAUAACAUUUAUAUUUUAUGUUUGGUAUAAUUACUUUUGAAAAAAUAUCCUAUACCUAAAAAGUUAAAUGAUAAAAUUGUUAAAAACAUUUUUAAAUAUAAGAAAAUAUCACUACUCAUCUAACAUAGAUGGAAUUAGAUUACUAUUUAUUUCUAUUAUGACAUAUAUAAAUAUGCAUAGUAGAUAGUCUUUAAUAUUUUACUAUAUUUGAAAGUAAACCUAAAUUUAAAUUUUACGGUAAUCAUUUUAAAUGACAAAACUAUGUUCAAACAUACCAAAAUGUCUAAAAUUUAUAAUGUUAAGAGAACAAUAAAAAAUUUAUUUAAAUUUUAUCUAAAGCAAAUGUGUUUUUGGUUUCAUUAUUCUUCCUUUAUGUAUUUGGAGUCCUCCUCACAAGAUAACAACACUCUGAUAAAUUUUAUGAUCAACAUUUAUCAAAAUGCAUAGAUAAAAAUGUAAAAUUUUGCAAUAUUUUGUAAAUAUUUUAUAUGUAUUACAUGAACAUCUCUUUUUUUUUUUUUUUAAUUUUCAAUAAGCACAAAUACAUACAUAGAAAGUUCGUCAUGUUGUAGGAAUGACGAUGCAAUCACCUUGCAAGCAAUAAUUAGAUAGCUAGAAUGGGAGUGAACGUGUUGAGUUAGCUCAAAUGACCUCCAACUAAUUCGAUAUAAAGGUGGGUGUAGCUUUUCUCGCUUAGAUUUAAUAAGAUGUAUACAGGUUGAACAUAUUGAGCAAGUGAUUCGAAUCAAUUCAGAAUUUUGGAAAAUAAAUGAAGUAAUAAUAUAAUAUAAUAAAUAAUUAAGACGAAAACUUAAAUAUAAUUAUAAAUAUAUGUAAUGUAAAAUAAUGCUAAUAAUUAAUGUGUGUAAGAACUUUACUGAAAGAAAUGUGACAUAAACAUUUCUAAUUAAGAAAACUGAUAAUAUAAAAUCUAUCCACAAAGGAAUAUAUAUAUUUGUAAAUCAUAUAAUAAUGCUUACGCUUAAACGGUUUUUAGCUUAUUGAUUAAAGAUGAGUGUGAAACUGAAUCGGGUGGAUGGCAUUAUCGGACAUAUUUGUCCUUGAGCUAGCCUAGUUGGGCAGUGGCUGAGCUAACAGAAAGAGUGAGGUUUGAAGCAAGCUUUAUGGUGUUUGUCGUGUAAUCAGUGGUAGCGUUGAGGUUGGAUCCAAUGGCAAAAACAUACUUUCUUUAAGUUUAAGUUCAUGGUCAAAGUCAGUAAUCUUCGAUGAUAAAAUUUAUCAGACUGCAAUCUUUCUUCCAUGUAUCGGCAUUUGGAACACCGACAUGCACCAAUACACCUCGAACACAUGUCUGACAUUUCUUCUCGAGUGUCUAUUAGUGAUGCAACUUUUUAUCAUCAAGAAAUCAGUAGCUAUAGCCUUGAUUGAUUGUGAAUGAUAAGCAACGAUAAUGUAAUUUUACACUACUUACCAAACACAACACUGUAAAUUAGAAAUUAGAAACAUGGUAAAACUUUAAAUAAAAUUUAUUAAUUUAAGACAAAAGUUAAAUAAUGCUAAAAAUAAUGUAAUAAUCAAACAAAAUUAAAAUAAACACAAAGGUAAAACAUUAAUAAUAAAUAAUAAACAGAAAUUAAAAUUAAAAAGUAAUUACUUAAACAACCCAAUUGGUUCUUAGUUUAUGAGAUGUUAAUAAAUAUUGCACAAUAUAUACAAUAAACAACAUACACUACACCUAAUAAUACAAACUCACAUGUUCCACAGUCGUCAAAAAUUGUUUAGAAGUAGGCAUUCUAUGGAUCCCUUGUCAUAUUUCAAUACUAUUAUUUCAUACAUAUAUUUAUAAAAUGAACAUAUAGUUAUGUAUAUAAAGUCUUUAUAGAGUAGUAAAAUCUAUUUUAACAUACUUCAAUUUACAUUCGUGUUAGAUGGAAUAUUAUAUCAAAUAAAGUACUUUUAACUAUAGCAUUAAGGGCUAUACCUUCAAUUUCACCUUAAUUUAAUUUAACUCAACUUAAGAAAUAUAUAUUAACUUUUUAGUCCCAUAAAAUUUAGUAAAUUCUAAUAGCAAACUUUUUCAUACCUUUCAUUUUAUGUCCAUGGUUGUAUGGGUCCCACUCGAUGUUUUAGUAUUACAAGUCAUAGGUAGGUUUAAGUAUUAUCAUCGCGUCAUAAAGAAUUAGAUAAAAUAUAGUUGGGUGAUAUAAUAUUAAAUUUGUUUUCACCUAUCACUCUAAAGUUUUUUUUAGAUCAAUUGGUGAUUUAAGGUGAUAUUAGAAACUAUUUAACUCUACAAAGUGGUUGGAAAUUAUUUGACUCUACAAAGUGGUUGCUAAGACUAAGCUAACAAACUAAAGUAGACUCUGCCAAGUGCUACUGCAGACAACCAAUUUGCUUUUGUAAAAAAUAGGCAAAUUACAGAUGCAAUUUUAACGACAAAUGAAGCAGCCGAUUUCUGAAAAACAAGCAAAAGAAAAGGCUAUGUGAUUAAGAUUGAUAUUGAAAAGGCCUUUGACACUAUCAAUUGGAAAUUCAUUGAUUUUAUGAUGAUAAAGAAGAACUUCUCAUUUCGAUCGCGAAAGUGGAUCAAAGCUUGCAUUACGGGUGUUCAUUACUCAAUUAUUAUAAAUGGUCAACCGAAGGGUCGAAUCACUUCAAAAAGAGGACUACGACAAGGAGACCCUUUGUUCUGGCUAUAGAUUAUCUCAGUGCAAUUCUAAAUCAUCUAAAAACCUCCAAGUCUCUUAAAGGCAUUGCGCAGCAUUAACCACAUCCUCUUUGCAGACGAUAUUCUGAUUUUAAUUCGUUGAAGACAAUGUCUAAAAGCUCACAUCCUUUUAGUCAUGUUUUAGGAAUGAAUGACUAAAAGCCCAAACUUAAGGUUCACAUUAAAUUUAUUUGAAAAAGCUUCUGGCCUAAAAAUUAAACAGAAAAAAAUCCACCUUAAGUCCAAUCAAUAUUUAGAAGCCCGAUGCUCCAGUGUGGAAGACCUUUUGAAUCUAAAAACCCAAACGCUCCCAUUCCUCUAUCUUGGUGUUCCUUUAGAUGGCCAGCCAAAUUCUAUGAGCUUUGGGAUAAUACCAAAGUUAAAAUCCAAAAAGAAAAAAAAAACUCAACCCAUGGAAAUAUUCUCAACUCUCAAAAGGUGGAAAACUAACGGUUCCGUACGCUAGUCUUUUCAAUCUUGACUGUAGCCAUCUAUUUUUAUCCUAUACAUAUUUUUUUAAAAAAAAUAUUAGUAGUAAUGGCUAAACUUAUUUAUGUUUAAAGGUAAAAAAUUAACAAUAACAUAAUAUCUUAUAACAUUUCAUUUUUAUCAUUUUAGGAAACAAAAAUAAAUCAAUUUACUUUUUUUUCUUUUAUCAUCAUUUUAAAAAAAAAUCUUUAGUCUUUUUCUUUUCUCUAAAAGAUAGGGAGAAAGAAAACGACAUAAGAAAAAAUGUUCGGUUUUUUAUUUAUACGUAUUUCAUUAUUUUUUUUACAAUUCCAACUCUUAACUUUUAUUUUCUUUUCUCUAAAAUAAAGAGGGAAAGAACGAGGAUAUAGAAAAAUUUAUCAUUAUUAUCGUUAUUACCAUCAAAUCCUAAUCGACAUACAAUUGGAAAAAAAAAAAAGAGAAAAUACCUUUAAAAACCUUUGAUUUGGACACAAAGAUUCACAAUAAUAAUGAUAAUACAAUUUAAUUUUUGAUAUACAAUGUCAUCUCUCACGUUCUAGUUGACUUACGUUUAAUGUAAUUAAACGGUCGUUUGCUUACAUGAGUUAGUUUAAAUUAUACUAAUUAUUUGUAAAUUAAUUGUCAAGUGUAGAUAUGUGCUACUUGUUUGAUAGUAUAGAGUUCUAUCUCAAAACCAAUUUGUUAUGAGAGGAAGUAGCUCAUCUAAUUAAAGAAUGUGAGUCAAUCUCUUUAGUUUAUUGAUUAUGAGACUCUCAACAUCUCAAUAUGUCCCUUUAAGAUGGUAUCUUUUUUGAUUCACCUAUCUUAGACCGAAUACUUGUUUGUGUUUAAUGGACUACGAUACCAUGUUCGAUAGUAUAUAUAUUCUUAAAUUGAAUUGGAUAGAGUGUUGGUGGAGUUUUUUAAGGUAUUAGUAUAGUAUAUUAGGAUAUUAGAAGCAGAUUCAAAAUUAUAUUCUUAAUAAAGCUAGCUGUCUUCAUUUUUUUAAGUACACGAAUUAGAUUCCACCAACAAAAGAAAAAGUUAUAGUUAAUUAAUUAAUCACAUAGGUCAUAUCUUUUAGUUCUGGUGGCUGUUUUGAGUAUAUCAUCGCUUGUUUUCUUCGAGUUAUUUUCAUCAUCUUUUUGUAAUCAGAGUCAAUUGAUGUAAGCUAGAUAUGCCGAUUAUGGGUUAACUCGUAAUUUAUGCUUUCAAGCUUGAGUUUUAGGUUCUAUCUCUUCCCUAUUCUAAUGCCAUGUAUUUGUGAGUUUUUUAACUUAGAUUAUUAACGUACUUGUUUGUCCCUUUUGAUUGAUAGACAAUUUGUUGUAUGUUGAUCAUCCAUAGAAAGCAAUAUAUGUUUGGUUAGGAUACAAAAUCCAUUUCCAUUAGUAUUGUUCUAAUCAAACUAGAUUGAACCAAUGAAUAUAUAUUUAGGGUGCUUGAAAGUUAAGUAUACACUGAACAUUUGCCCAAAUUCUUAAUACAAUAUUUAGAUAACUUGAAUACAUAUGUUUUUCAUCCAUUCAAAUUGGACUAAUUAGUUGAUUGAGACGAAUUAAAUUGACUUUUUCAUCUACUGAAAUUGAAGUUUUAUUGAUAUUUAAAAAAAGAAACAAAGAUUCAUCAUUUUGGACAUGAUAAAGAUGUUAAAAAAGUGUUAAUCUAGUUAAGAUGUCUUGUUUCAAAACUAGACUUUGAUACUUCCAUCAACGUCAAUAUUUUAAACUAUGAUAUGAUAUAGUUAUAUAUAAUUUUGUGACUGUUAUAUGUAAUCUAAUUACUUUGAUCUAUUUAAAUACUAUCUCAUAUACAUUCUAGCCUAAACUAUUCUAAAUAGCCGUGAGUUUUACACGUCUUUGUGUCAAAAGUAAAUACAGUUAAACAUCCUUCAAAAAAAUCCAAAAGUACUUUUACUAUUAAUUUUAGAUGAAAGCAUUGAACUUUAAUUUUUUUUAAGAAUACCCUAUAAAACCUACCCUUGCCAUUCUGAUUAAACAAAAAUUGUUAAUACUCAUUUACCUCUUUAUUUUUCCUCUUUCUUUCUCCACUCUCUCGCUAUUAUUCACACAUGAGAAGAAAAAAAAAAUACUAAAAUGAGUUAAACGUAGAAUAUAAUUGAAGUAUGUAUAUUAUUCACACACCAGAAAAGAAAAGAUCAAAUAUACAUUAACAAAAGUAGUUAACUAUUUUAUUGAUUGCGAUAUAGAAAAGCAAGGAUAGAUAGAUCUAACCUGAUUAAGUACAUGAGAGAGCAGUUGUAAUGGAAUUUAGUGCCCGUUUAGAUUGACUUUCUAAAAUAGUUUACAAACACUUCUGUUUUAUUUACUUAUUAUUAUUAUUUUUUUUGUUUUUUGUUUUUAUACUUAUAAACACUUAUUUAUAUAAACUUGCUUAGAAAGUCAAUCAAAAUAGGGUGAUGGUGUUCAUGGUUAAGUUGUUAAGAGCAAAGCCUGUGAGAUCUAACUUCCCAUUUACCAACAAGAGGGAUCCAAACUUCAACAUCAUAUGUUUGGACACUCGAACCACAAUUGGUUUUAGCAUCAACCUGAAUUUUAAAUCGAUAGAGUUUGCCCUUUGUAAACAAAGCAAUAGCAGCAGCCACCACAGCUCUAAGCUUGAGCUCAACCUGAAGCUUUUCCGAAACCACAGUCAACGACCAUGUGGCAAUUUCUACUACAACUCUGUCCUUUGCACAGUUAUCAAUGGAUCUGAAAGCUCCUCCCGAGCGGAACUGGUACUUCCUGCCUGCAUGUUCUCCUACAUGUUCUCCAAAGUCCGACGACAUGAUCUUAAAUUGAUAUUUUUAAUAUGCUUAAUUCUAUGGAUUGAUCACUUGAGUUGUUGCCUUCUCUCUAUGCUCCUUUAUAUAACAACAUAUUAAUUCUACUUCUUUUUUUUUUUUCUUUUUCCUUUAAACGAAUCUAAUUCCUAUAUUCUACUUUAAAUAAAUUGAUAACUUCGAAUGUUUUUUUUUCAUAAUUCACCAUGCUAUUUCUAAUGUUUAUCCAUCUCUCUCAUCUAACCAUUUUUUUUUUGUUGAUAUUUCACAAAUGUCAUAAGAUUAAUAGCUUUGCUCUACACCCUCUUUUUGUCUCUUGCCUUGAAUUAUGGGCUUCUUGACCCUUUUAUAUCUUUUCACUGUCAAUACAUUGAUCUUUUAGACUAGAGCAUGAGGAAGACACUAAAAAAUAUUUGUUAACCAGCUAGUUGAGACAUUGGAAAUAUUGUGAUCAGACUUGAAUUACUAUAAAUAAAUGUUGAUCUAAUUCCUAAAUUACUAAAAAAAAAAAGUGAAGAUAUGUUCUAAUGACAAAUUUUUAAAAUCAUGGAAACCUGUUUAUACUAUAGUGUUGUAUUUUUGUGUGUUACAUGUAAUAAUCUUACUUUCUAUUUAAAUAUACUAAAUACCCCUAUAGAGUUUUACAUAUCUUUCUAGUUUUAGAUAAAAAUGGUUAGUCAUUUUUUUUUGUCAAGAAUAUUCUUAAACGUCCAUUCCAAAUAUAUAUAAAAAAAAAUACUCUUAGUACCGUUAGUAAGCGAACAAAAGUCAUUAAUACCAUAAACUUCUUUAUUUUUCCACUUUCUUUCUCGGGUUUUUUUGGAAAAAAAUGGGUGUUUAAAUUUUUUUUUAAAAAAAGGUGUUUUCAAAACUAUUUGAGUAAGAAAAAUUGCAUAGGAUAUCAUUAUGAAAAUAUGAUAUAACAAUUAUAGCAAAUUGUUUUAGAAUUUUGCAAAUAUGACAAAAUUUCCACUUCUUCAUCUUAAAUUUGUUAUUAUUCCUAAACUACCCUUCAAUAACUUAUUUAUCUUCCUCUUUUUAAUGCUUUACUAAUUAUUUAUUUAUUAUUUCACUUUUUCGGUCUUAACCUUCAUUUUUUAAAAUAUCAAUAGUACAAUAAUUACAAUAUGAAAUAUUAUAUAAUGGUUGUUGAUCAGAGUAAUUUAACUUCAUUUGUAAUUUUUUUUACUUUCUUCGAUAUGUAUUUUGAGUUGAAUCUGAUUUCAAAUGUUUUUGUUUUAUUUUUUUACAUUAAUUUUUUUGUUUUACCUUGUCUCAAUUUUGUAUAUCAGUGUUGUGAUAUACUUAUAUUAUAUGUAUUAGGUUGUUAAUAUACUUACUAAGUGAUUUUCGUUUUUUCAAAUUUUAUGCAGUUCAUUAAAGUAUUAUUAAGUAUAUUAGUAAUGUAACUCAGUGUAUCAUUAUCAAGUAUAUCAACAAUAUAUUGUUAAAAGCAUAUCAGUAAAGUGAAUCUAUCAAGUAUAUGAAUCAAAUUUACAAGUGUAUAUCUUUUUUUGAUAAAUAUACGUUGGGUCAGAAGGUGCAUCAAAACGUCUCCACUAGAUGGACACUCCCUUAGCACCCUUAGCAAUCUCACUUCAUUAAUGAAUAAGAGAUUAGUAUAGGAAGUAGGAGAGAACAAAAAGGGCUAGAGAGAAGCCCCUAGAACCCAAUUAAAUAAAGACAUUUAAAUUUAAAGCAAUAGAAGAGGCCGAAUAAUUUUUAAACAAUGAAGAGCGGCUUGCCCAAAGGCCGGCUGUGGCUUGUAUAUCUUUCCACACUGAAAACAGGGAUUUUUCCUCUUCUUUAAAAAUUCUUCUGUUUCUUUCAUUCCAGAUAUUUCAUAAGGUAGCAACCACCAAGUGAAGGAUGAUAACAUGUUUUCGUGAGUUGUCCUUUUUCUUGUAAAUUUCUUUGCAGAGGUGGGUUGUAUUGUUGGAGGAGAGAAGAACCAUAACAUUUACUUCACAUUUAAGCCAUAGCUCUGAAGAGAAUGGACAGGAGAAAAAUAAAUGAUUUUUGUCUUCCUCUGCCGAUUUGCACAGGAUGCACUAAGAAGGCCUUAAGUUCCAAGUGGGGAGUCUCCUUUGCAACAUAUCCAUAGUGUUAAUACAUCCAUGAAGCAGUGUCCAGAUAAAAAAAUUUACACCUCUUUGGGGAUGGAAGACUUCCAUAAAUUUUGAUAGCUCACCCCUUCUGCAAUAUUACCCUUAGGUUGAUUGGAAGUAGAAAUAGCAUAUUUGAUGGAGGCCACCGAGAAAUGAUUAUUUGUAUUCAAAGUCCGUGUCAGAAUUAUUUAGUGACAAUGAUUGCAGAGAAUUUUUCAAAGUUACAGUGUUCUUUUGGCCAGUCUUUCUAGGUUGCUUUCUAGAUUGAUUGGUUAGGUUUCUUCCUAAAAAUAAACUUACAGCGUUCUUUUGUUUUUGUGUUCCUUUGGAUAUCUCUCCCGCUGUUGUCUAAAGUACCAGCUUAAAAGUAAAAUAAACAAAAAUGAGUAUAAGCUUAAUUACCCACCUCCUUAGAUGGUCUAAAGCCACUUUUCCUAUUGAAAAAGGUGGUUUAGGUAUACACAAACUUGCUGAUACAAAAUUUCUCCUUUUUAUGGAAAUGGUUAUGGAGAUUUCAUUCUGAAGUUGAUCCCCUGUGGAAGAAAAGUGUCACUGCAAAAUAUAAUCAGUCAUACAUUGGUGAGCUGCCUAUUUCUGGAAAAUUCAGUUCUAUGAAAGCUCCUUGGUUUAAUAUUAUCAAAGGAAAUUGGUGAAAAUUCAGUACAAUGCUCAAAUCAAAUUGAUCUGUAAAUAAUGGUGAAAAUCUCUCUUUUUUGGAAAGGAAAUUGGUGUGAUAUCAGCCCCUUAUACCUGUACAAACCAAGAUUAUUUGCUUUAUCCACCAACCAAACUUGUUCUGUUAAAGACAUGUGGAAUAAUGCUAGCAUCUUGGAUUGGGAUAUCAAAUAACCUAGACUGCCUCUUCGAAGGUAGUGAACAUCAACAGUGUAAUGAGAUCAAACAAAAAUGCAUCACCCCAACGGCCUCGCUGUUCUAAUCUUUGGUCCAUAAAUCAGCCCAAUAAAAGGAGUAUCAUCAAAUUUAACACCAUUGCAUUUAUGUUAUGGUCCAUUGGGUUGGAGAGAAAUAAUUGUAUUUUUAAGAACAAAGAAAAAUCGAUUAGUGAUCUUUGCUCGAUCUUUUGAGACUUUGGGCUUUCAAAUCCUCUAUGUUUUUGCAUAUUAUGGUGCCAGUUUUAUAGCUAUGAAUUUAAAUAACUUCUUUUGUAUUUGGCUUAUCCCAAGUCCUGAUCUGGCUCUUUUGUUAAUUUGUUCCGUAAGUUCUAUUAAUGUAUUAAUUCUUUUUAUAUUAAUGAAACAGAGAUGAAAAAGAUGUCAAGAAGGUGUCCACCUAAUAGAGAUGUACAUGUGCAUCUGUUGACUCACGGUAUCUUUUUUAAAAAAACAAAUAAAAAAAACAUUUGUUUUGGAAUUUUGCAAAGUAGGAAAAAGUGCACUUUUCUGUUUUUCUCAAUUUAUAUCCAAAUGAAAACUAAUAAAAAUUUAAUAAAUUUACUAUUUUAUAUUAUAAAUUCAAUAUAAUUCACAUUUUGUAAAGUGAAAUGUGUAUAUCACAGUAUAUAUAUAUUACAAACUUUAAUGUCUUAAAAGCAAUUGAAUCACAGAGGGAUUGAUCUGUUUGUGAAAGGUGAAAAACUUUGAGUUCUAUAUACAUAUAUCUAACUACUAUUCAAAAUGAUUUUUUGGCUCAUAGUCAUAGCUAUCUUAUAAAAUAAACAACAUCCAUAAACUACUCUUUUUAGUCUGACGUUGAGUGGAAGAGAAAAGAAAUUAGUUCCUGAUAUCAAAGUUAUGAUCACUUUUUACUCUAAAAAAAAUUAACAAUAUAUGAACCAGCUAGCUAGCUAGACAAUUAUCAAUAAACUCAAUUUUAAAUUUGGUUUAUGGUCCUUAAUUUAAUAUGCUUUUCCUAUAUCAUUUAUGCUUUCUUUUGUAGCCUUGUUCAAACUUGUGAUUAAUUUAAUAUCUAUUUCUUUUUUGAACAAGGAAACGUACAUGAUAAUAGGUGCUAUUAGGAAACCUGCUGCAGGCUUUCUUACAGCAUAUCCAAUUACCACGAAAUUCUAUUGAUAUGUAUGUAGUACAUAGUGUAAUGAAGGCUAGAGAUAAAGCCUCAAACAAACUCCCUUAUCUUAAGGCAUUGAUAUAUUGAUAGAGAUAGUGCUUGGUUUAUAGUCUUUGAAUAGAUUGUGUCUAUUUGACCAUAAACCAACUAAAUUAUUAUAUGUUUUGCGAAGACCGUACCUAGCGGUGCUUUUAUAUUUGUUGUUGAAAAUACUAUUGUCUCUCUUCAACCAUACUGUCCAUAGAAGUGCCGGUACUGUAUUGAAGAUAAUAACAUUCUUCCUAUUUGUGUGUCUGAGAUUGCAAAUUGGCAGGCAUAGAGCUUUUGCGCUUUCGCUCUCGAUAAUCUGCCCAGUCUCUUUCUGGAUUUUUUUCCCGAAGAGCUGCUGCUUUUUCACAGUGAAGGAAGAGAUGAUUCAUAUCUUCACUUUUUGACUUGCAAAGUACACACAAGUUUGGGUUUAGGCAUGUGUUUGGAAACUUUUUCUGGAUGACUUCCAUGGUGUUGAUUUGUUCAUGAAUGAUGGUCUAUAUAAAGAACUUGCAUUUUUUUUGAAAUUUUUGACUUCCACAAAGUUUUGUACCUAUGGGAAUCAGUACUGAGGGUAUUUAUAGGAUCAUCAUUUUGUAAGGACUGCUUCACCGAUGCGAUGGUGAAGAUGUUGUCAUCCUUCAAAUUCCAAAGAGGUUUGCUUAAAUUCAUGUCUGGUUGGAUAUUUGGGAGGGAGGCUUUGAUGAUAUAUUCCAUGUGAUUUAUCUCCCUGUCAUUCAGUGGUCUCCUUGGUUGUAUGACACACAAAUAGAAAUUUAAUAUCUAUUCCUUGCAGCACAGGGAGCAGUGCAUAUGAUAUGAUACCACAUCUUGAGUGCUUAAGCUAAAUCCAAUCCUUAAGUCCCAAAAAUUAAGCUAAUCCCUUAAAAUUGCAUACAUAAUUAAUUGCACAAUUGUGUUACUCAAUACAUGGCCUAUAUCUUAUCUAAAACAAUACCAUGUCAUAUAUUCUCUUAUCUUUUUUUUUUUUGUUUAUUAUUAUUUUUUAUUCCCAAAAUUUUUAAGCAGACUUUUUCUAUUUUUUUAAAAAUAAUAUAUUUUAAAAAUGAAUACUAUUGCAUAUUUAAAUAAUCCAACUCUAUUUUUUAAUUUUAUAUUUCUAUCUCUUUUUUUAAAAGGAUGAUAGCACUUUAAAGUUUUUCGCCUUUUACAAAAGGAACACUUUGGAAAAUGGUUCCAAUAAAUCAUCCACCACCGAGAUCAAUGCUUGAACCAAAACAAAAACUUUAAUUUAUUGAAAACAAUUUGGCCAAAAAAUAAAAUGAAAUACCUAGCCUAGCUAGAUAACUUUAUAAAACAAACAUUAUGUUAGUUGGGCGUUAUAUUCAUUUGAACUUAUAAUUAGAAAUAUUUGUUCCUUCAAACAAUAUUAAUUAAUUGAAUUAGGAUUUAAAAUCAUGUUAAUGGAUGCAAAAGCCCUAUUAGGGUCAUAAAUACUUAAAAGGAAUUACACGAAUUAGAUUCCAUAAAUUAAAAAAAAAUAAUAAUUUAUUACGUUAAAACGUAAAGUGGAAGAAAUGGAAGUAAUAUAAAUUUAAGACUAUGUUUUGUUUUGAAAUUAAAAGCUGGAAGCACAAAACAAAGCAUAGCAGAUAACAAGUAGGUAAUAUAAUUUUGUGAGAAUUAUAAGUUAGGAUUUAUCAGGAACAAGAAUAUUACAUAUGAGUUCAUUGGAGCGUACUGCUACUGUUGGUGAUCGGCGUCCAUUGUCGCGGAAAGGAGACGCACUUGUGAUAAGACUAACAAAGUGGGCAGUCCGGGAAUACAACAAUAAAGGUCAUCACUUGAUAUUUAUUCGUUUGUUGAAAGAAUCGGUCGCGCACACAAUGCAUGGACAUGACUACCACAUUCUCUUGUAUGCUAAGAAUGAAGAUAAUAAUCAUCAAGAGGAAAAGUACGAGACUCGUUUCCUGUAUUCUCCGUGGGAAAACCAAGUCAUAACGUUAAUUAACUUUAACGGUCCUUUAUUUGAAUCGACUUUCUAAACGUUUAUAAACUACUUUUUUUUUUUACACUUUUUUAAACCUUUAGAAAGUUACACUAAAUUAUUAAUACACGGUUGCUUUUAUGAUCCAUCUACGAAUGGAUCUAUAAUAAUUAUAAAAUAAAAAGGCUACAAUCUUUGAGUUUUUUAUAUAUGUUUGUUUGUGUUUUUCUAUGUUUUUUUUUUCUUUGUAUGUUUUAUUGUUUUUUAAAAUAAAAAACAGGUAAUAAGAGAUCAGUAACUUCAUCCGAACAUCUCAACUAGAUUAAUAUAUUUAUAGCACAUUUAUUAUUCUCUCGCACACUUUCAUAUGUUUAUUUUGAGAUUGUUAGUGAAACAAUGAUCUUCUAUGUAUCUUCCCAAUGGAAGGAUCAUAUUAUCCACCUUGUACAUAAACUCUCUGUUGGCUUUAUUUUUAGUUUUUUUUUUUUUGUAAAAUGCUUCAAACUAAUUGAGUUAAUUGUCUCCACUUAUAUAUAAAGAAAGAAAAUAGCUAUACAGGGUAAAGAAAAUUCAUCCAAUUAAGUGGGAAAUGGUUGGUGGCUACAUAUAUAAUUGCUAAAUAAGAGAGAAUUGUUACACCACAUGGCUACAUAACAUGUGAUAAUAUAAAUCUUCUCAAAUUGCAAACGUGAUUUUUCUUCCGAUCUUGGAAGAUUCAUUAUAUAUAUAUUAACAAAACUGGCCCUCAACGUUUUUAAUAAAAUUAAAUAAUACAUCUAUAUUUCUUUAUUUAUUAGUAAUUAAACCAUAUUUAAUAACACUUCUAAAUAUUAGAUUACUUGUGUACUAUGUUGAGACGUCGAGAGACAUUUUUUUUUAGAAAAACCAAAGGAGAUAGGUUAGAAGAUGCACCGGAACAUCUUCUCUAAGCAUGGACAUUUCCUUUGCACUUUCAUCAUCUCCGCUUCAUUAAUAUAACCAAGAAAGUACAAUAAGCAGAAAUUGAAACUGAACAAGGGCUAGAGAAAGUCCAUGAUGUCAAUGAAAAUUUCGAUAAAAUAUAAGUUUUGAUGAAUAUUUCUUGAAGAAUUAUAAAAGUAAAAAAAUAAAAAGUAACUAUAAGUGAUUUUACACACUAUCUUACGGCAUCGAAAAUUUCCUCUUCCAACGUGGUUUUUCUUAUUACUUUCUCGACACACAAGUUGGUUUUAGGAAUUCCUUUCGAUGUAGUCCUGAACAUUUUCUCGCCACUUUGGCUGUUAGGAGAGGGGGUCAGUUUCUUAUCUUAUAAGACGUCUAUUAACUAUACUAUAUUUAUGUUGAGAGGUAUCUAUAAAAAAAAUACAGGUGGAGUUAUUAUGGAUAACAAUAAAAAAUGGAAAAUAUAGCAAAAAUUUUAAAUUCGCUACAACCAGUAUGAACUGUUUUCAAAUCUAUGAACUGUGCAUCAUUCAACAAGAGAAAAUUGAUAGUUAAUUUUCAUUGAUCGUUCAACUGUUUUCAAUUCGCUACAACGUUCAUAGACUUCUAAAAAUGUUUUGCUGUAACUUGUAAAUAGUUAAUUUCAUUUUUCAAUAUUUAAAAAUUCCAAAUAAAAAGAAAAUUGAUUCCAAACUAUCUUCAAAUCUAUGAACUGUGUACUGUUAAGCAAGAGAGAUACAAAAAGUAGAAGAUUCCAUUUUAUCAAAAUUAGACACAAUGGAAAUGAAUAUGUUGACUGUUAUAAACCACACACAACUAUAUAAAUACCAAACUCCUAACUCCUAAGUAUUCAUGAACAAAACACACAAACUUUACUACAUAAUAUAUCCUCUUCUAAAACUAUCUAUCCAUCAAAAGUAGAUUGUUGCAGUAUGAGUUCCGAAAAUAAGGGAUCACCCAUUUUUGUCAUCGAUCAGCGAGAGGACGUGCAACAAAUUGGACAGAAUGCAACGCACAUACACAACCAAGAAAAACCAGACACUUUGGGUUUCCUUCGUGUGACAUACGGCCUGGAGGAUGUAAAUGCAACUUGCAAGUCGUAUACUCUUGGGGUGGAAGCUUUAAAUAAGGAUAAAAUUAUCUGGACAUAUAUGGCUUCGAUUAAAAUGACAGAGCCUCAUGAUAAAUAUGAACAAUCUUUUAAAGAUCCCUUCGGGUACUACACCUAAUAGUAUGAAAAUAAUCCUUCUAUAUGUUUGUGUGUGUGUGCGAGAGGCAUUAUUGUCUUUUGCCUAUAUGAAAAUAAAUGGUAUAACCAUAUAAUAAGAACAAUGAUACUUAUCUAUUAUCUCUCUUUCUAGUUUUUCUUUUUUAUCAAAUUUUGCAGUCAAGUAUACAUGGUGCAUUUCAGAAAUUAUAAUUUGUUAUAUAAUUGUAACUUGUUUGUCGGUCUUAGUACUUCAAUAGGAAUUAAGGGAGAGUAACCAAUGGCAACGCAUAUCUUUGACCUCAUUCUUUUCAAAAUAUAUAAAACAAGGCCACAGUUAGUAUCAUUAAUGCACAACUUCUAGGUAUUUUCCAUCUGUCUAAGACAUCUCCUCCUUUUUUCACGUUUCUCUCUCUAUCAUAAGCUUCCUUUUUUUUCAUCCGAUAAAAGAACUGAGAAAUCAUUUUUUCUUUUGGUUUUGGGACGGGAUGUGCGCUAUACCGAUGUUAACUUAGUUGAGAUAUCUUAGUGCACCCUAAUCUCUUGUGAAAUUUUUCAAAAAAAAAGAAAGAAAGAAAGAGACAUCUUCCAAUUUUCAUCUCCCUCAACUAUCUUUCCUUCUCUGUCCUUUAAAGAAAGAAAGAAAACAACCAACACCAACAAACCUUCUAUCCCUUUUUAUUUUUUCUUUUUCUUCCUUAAGCUUUUAGGUUUUUCUUUAAUUAUGUAUAUGUGUAUUUUUAAAGAAAAAAACCAACACCAACAAACCUCCUAUUGCAUUGUGAAUUUUAUAAAAAAAAUAAAGAAAAAAGUUAUGGUAAAAGCUAUAAGAGCUAGUAAUGAUUUGUAUAAAUUUUAUGACCUUUAGCAGUUGUACUUUCGUAUUUCUUCUUUGUGUCGUCCUUUUGUGUAUAUCGUUCAGUACAUUGAGCUUAUUUAUAUCUAGUUCGAAGACUUAGCCGGACAAAAGUGAAUUUUGUGUUUAGAAAAUGUUUGGCACAUAUCCUCAUAUAUGAGGGUGGCCAGAAAACAAACAAAUAUUGCUUCAUAUUCUUAAACAUGCAUGCAGUUUUAUCAUUUACUCCAUAUAUAAUUGUAAUAAAUAUUUGGUCAUAAUCUCAUUUAUUUAGAAAUUAUUUUAAAUUAUCUUUAAAUCAUUUAUUUUAAAAAUUAAACGCUUAAAAAAUCAAUCCAAACAUACCCUAAAUAUCAUCAGGAUGUAAAUGUAUCAAUUUAAUUACCUACUUCAUAUUUUCCAUAUUUUCUUUAUUUUCAUUUAGACAUCUAAAAUUUUUCUAGUAAAUAUUUUGUUUCAUUUGAUUAUAUCGGUAGAUUUCCGUUGAAAGAAAUCACAAAAGAAAAAAUUAAUUAAGAAAUAUAAUAUCCUGUUAAUUAAUUUUAACUUUGAAAAACGCACACAUGUUAAUAAAUACAUUAGCUGGAUCAAGCGUAUACUUUUUUUUACUAAGAUUUGUACAACAUAACCAUUAACUUAGUAAGAAAGAAUUUGUUUUGAAGCUAUCUCCUAAAUUAUUAGUUGUCCAACAUUUUAAUUCACGAGGCCUCUGUCAAUAUAUAUUUUAAUUAACCUAAGAUCAAAAGUAAUGAGACUUUAAUUAAAUAUACAAACUCUCGUUUAAUUAGAUUUUUUUCUAAUCUUCAACCGACAACAGCAAUGGUCACUGUUAUUUUCAUCUUUCACAGCUAACAUCCUUUUAGAAAACUCGCUAAAUUAGUGUUUCUCCUCAAAUUUUCUUCAUUGUCAUCGAUCUUUCUCUAUCUUUUCUUUUUCUCUUUAUGAAGUAGCAAAAAUAAGCUCAGCUGAUGUUGUACUCUUUCUAUUAUUAUUAUUGAUACGUUGCAGUAUCUCCAAAAUCAAAAACACAUGUGUCUCCCACUUUUUAAAUAUCCCAUCUUAAAUGGUCACCCACCCUAGUUUUCUUUUUCUUUUUCUUUUCCCAUUACUAGAAAAUGGGUUUUAAUGACACUUGUAAUAAGGAAAAAAAUGGGUGGAGUGCGGUAAAAUGUAUCCUUCAAAAUAAAAAUACAGAUUUUUUAUUGACACGAUUUAAUUUUUCUCGACACAAUUCUGGCGUAUAGAAAUCUAAAUAUGUAUAGUUUCUAGUAUUUGUAUGAUGAAGUGGUGGUUGUUGCUAAAGAGCUUCAGGUAAUUUGAUUUCUUAUAUAUUUAGAUUUCUUUUUAUUUAAUGUAUUUAGAUAUCAGCAUACUGAGUAAGAAAGUGUAUGUUCAAGCUGUUACUCUGAGAGAUGGAACAUCCAUGGAUUUCAACAAAUUAUUGAAGGUAUGUUGAAGAGAAUUCUAUUUGAUAUUUUAUUACUGCUGCAAACCUUUGACAUUCAAGAAAAACAAAACGAAAAAAAAACAAAAGUCAUAUUAUGAUUGUUCAGGAAAAUAUGAUUCAUGAUCGCUCAUUAUGGAUUCCAAUGGAUAUAGAAACUGCUACUGGCAAUGCAGAUAUAGUCCAAUUGAACACUCUCUAAGACUUAGAAGCACGUAUACAAAAUAAGUUGGCUAGUUGUGUAAUCUUAAUUUCUUGAAUUUCUGCCAUUGUCAGUUUAGUAGAAUUGAUGCUAUCUUCUUCUGUGCUACAGAUUUUGGACAGCAGAGAGCAGAUAGGACUGAAACAUUUCGAGCCAGUGAAGCCUUUGGGAUCUGGUGGUACUAGCAGGUUUAUUUUUUCCCCAUUUUUAUUGGUUCCGUUCAGAAUGAAAUAAUGUUAAGUUAUUGAACAAACCAUUGUAUCAACAUGAAGAAAUCUUGAGUAUUUAUUAUUUUAAAGAGAGAUAUCUGCAUUGUUCAUGUUGAUACAUCUGCAUUGCAUUGUAAAAAGAUUUAUGCAUUCCAACAUCUACAUUUAUUGAAUAAACCUUUGUGUCAACAUCACACAUCUGCAACAUUUUAAACCAACAUGAAAAAACCUUGGUUUAGGUAUUUUAAAUUUCUUUUUGUAAGUUUUUUUGUUCAUAGUUUCAAAUUGUUUAUAGAGUAUUUGAAUAGGUUUUGAAGUUAUUCAUGGCUAAUUAGUUGUCUUUAACUUCCAGACUCAAAUCUAACCCUUUAAUUGUUUCAAAUCUACAAGUUUGGGCCUUCAUAUUCGAUCAACAAACACUUCAAGUUUCUCAUUAUCUCAAAGUAUAUGGAUGGUAUAGCUCGUGUAAAUUGUUGAUAAAAGCUUUCAUUGCUCAUUUCAGUUAUGAGCUAGGAGUUUAAACAAGAAACAAUUCUAGUUUUAAGACUUCAUACAUCUUGGUGACCAAGAGGAUGAGGAUAUAGCAUACACACUCUAACGCUAUGAAACUUUUCAUAAAAGGUAACAUUUAUAGUCUCAUGUUCAUUUGGUAUGUUAUUCUAUGUUUUUUAUUCUAUAAGAUAGCUAUUAUUAUUGUUGAUUUUGUAAUAGGCCACAUAUAGAAAAUUUAAAUUGACUAUACUGGUUUGGAAUUGUGUAAUUGUUGAUGACAUUGUUGAGACUAAUGAAAUUAUUGUUAGUUUACUUAUUAUACUAAAUUAUUUGUCAUUUUUUAUUGUGCAACUACUAGUACAGAGUUUAUUUUGUUGAUAAAUAUGUUUUAUUGAAACGAAUGUACGUACUGCAGGAAACAUGAAAUGAAAAUUUUUACAUAUUUAAUAUAUUAAUAAAUUGUAUACAUGACUUAGUAUACUAUCUUACUUGAAUUAAAUAUACAAUUUUACUUGACAUAUAAAUAGUGUCAAGUAUACUAUUUUACUUGACGGACAAAUAGUGUUGAGUAUAUUACAAAUACUAUCUUCGUAUUCAUCCUUAAGGUUCCAUGCUUUUUCUCUUCGCUUAUCCUCCAAUCUCUCAUUUUUUUCUCUUUUUCUUUAUCAUUCUUUUCCCACUCUUUUUUCCUUUUUCCUCAAAUAUAUAUUAACAAAACUGGCCCUCAACGUUUUUAUCGUUCUUUUCUUUUUAAAUUCAUUAUCCUUCUUUUCUUUAAUUUAAGGUAUCUCCUCUUUUCUUCACCUUUUUUAUGCUUUCUUUUAUAAAAAUGAAAAGAAUAAUAUUUAUGACCAUUUUUUUAUUUAUAUUUAUAAAAUUAAAUAAACAUGGAAGAUCUAUCUCAAUUGCUAUAGCACUGGCUUAGCUAGUUCGAUAGACACAUCUAGACAUAUCACUUCAUCUCUUGUAUCGAUUUCAUGUCCAUGGAAACAUGGUAAUAUCAUUGAAAAUAUCAACAUAUCGACACCAAAAAGAUUCCUACAAAAUUAAUUUUAAAAUUUCUAUCACCAAUGUAUAAACUUUAAUAAACUUCUAAAAGAGUUUUGUUAUAACUUGUAAAUAGUUAAUUUCAUUUUUCAAUAUUUAAAAAUCCCAAAUAAAAAAAAAAUUGAUUCAAUUCCAAACUAUCUUCAAAUCUUUGGACUGUGCACCGUUAAACAAGAGGGAUACAAAAAGUAGAAGAUUCCAUUAUAUGAAAACUAGACACAAUUGAAAUGAAUAACCACACACAACUAUAUAAAUACCAAACUCCUAACUCCUAAGUAUUCAUGAACAAAACAAACAAACUUUACUACAUAAUAUAUCAUCUUCUAAAACUAUCUAUCCAUCAAAAGUAGAUUGUUGCAGUAUGAGUUUCAAAAAUAAGGGACCGCCCAUUCCAAACAUCGAUCAGCGAAAGGACGUGCAACAAAUUGGACGAAUUGCAGUGGACAUACACAACGAACAAAAACCAGACACUUUGAUUUUCCAUCGUGUGAUAAACGGCCUGGAGAUAGGGAUUAGUGAUAUACAUGGACCUCGCAUAUUGUUGUAUACUCUUGUGGUGGAAGCUAUAAAUAAGGAUAAAAUUAUCUGGACAUAUGUGACUUCCAUUAAAAUUACAAAACCAUCAAGCUAUGAACUCGUAUCUUUUAAAGAUCCCCUCGGGUACUACACCUAAUAGUAUGAAAAUAAUCCUUCUAUAUGUGUGUGUGUGUGAGAGAGGCAUAAUUGUCUUUGGCCUAUAUGAAAAUAAAUGGUAUAACCAUAUAAUAAGAACAAUGAUACUUAUCUAUUAUCUUUCUUUCUAAUUUUUCUUUUUUAUCAAAUUUUGCAGUCAAGUAUACAUGGUGCAUUUCAGAAAUUAUAAUUUGUUAUAUAAUCGUAACUUGUUUGUCUGUCUUAGUACUUCAAAAGUAAUUAAGGGAGAGUAACCAAUGGCAACGCAUAUCUUUGACCUCAUUCUUUUGAAAAUAUAAUCGUAACUUGUUUGUCCGUCUUGUUCCAAUUUUUCUUGUUUUUUUUUGGGGAGGGGGGUGGGAAACAACAAUAUUUUCGAUAAACGAAUGUUGUUCCGCUUUCAAGUUAAAUUCAUCAAAGGAAAUGGCAGCUUGUCUUGAGAACGUACCAUCUAUGUGUGGGUUCCUUUCAAUUAGCCAACGUCCCUUCACAGGUAUCACAGUUUGGACCAGAAAUGUGUUGCCCUCCUUAUCAAUGAUGUUUAUUGUGGCUGGUAUGAACCCAGUAUAAUUGAGUCUGACUUUAAUGUUUGCCUCUACGAUGUCGAAUGCAUUUAGGUUGUUCUUUUGGGGCUUUUUGCUCUUUUUGAAUGCAUUCCUUUGUUUCUUAUAAAAAUGACGAUGAAAAUCAUAGACAUGGUUUCAUUGGCCUAAGCCUUGCCAAAUUGGAUGGAGCCAUGCUGUAGGAGAUCUCACUCCCAUUUGGUUACUCUUCAUAAAGAUUUAUUUUUUUUCUUACAAUAAAUGUGAUGUCACUCCUCGUGAAGAAACCACGUUUAUCUCCCUUAUGGUGAUUAGUUUGAAGUUAGCAUUUAGUGGUAUUCAUUUGACAUUAUUGGAUUUAUGGGGUUGAGAUUGUUUCAAAGCUAUCAAUGUCACGUAGAGACUUUUUGUUGAGACUUUUUGAGGACCUUUUAGGUUGGUUUUGGAUUCGAAAGUCAGAUUUAGGCCAUGCGUCUUCUGUAAUUUGAACCUCCACGUUAAAAUAGGACUUAAUCAUUUUAAUGUACAUUUUUCAGAUUUAUGUAGUUUGAAGGAGCGGGGAAUGAAGACUUUUUUAGUGAGUUAACUAUUUUUUGUGUUGUAAUUUUUUUUUUUUGUUCAUUUUGGUAUGCCAAAGUGAAAUGUAAUAUAGCUCACGAACCUUGACACACUAAAGAAUGAUUGUUUGCCAUAUUUUGACCAAGUAUUGAAUUGUGGAUUGUGAUAUUAAUGGUUGAAAAUAUUUUUCAUUUUUAAAUUUUUGGUUGCAGUGUUUAAUGUAUUAUGGUGUAGGAAAUUCAUUCUACAUGUAAAAUUUAAUUUAUAAGCAUACAAUAUUAUAUUAAUAAUAAAUGUGGAAAAUUUAAAUUGUUUUUGUCAUGUUCUUUGUGUGGUUAGAAAUAUGUUGGCAAUUAGAAAGUUCUGCGACGUUUAUGCUUGGACAAAAAAAACAAAUAUUAUUUAAAAACAAAUUUAGCCUGGGGAGAAAUUUUGUUUUGUCCACAAAGAUCUUUUCGUUGGCAGAACUAGCUUCCGCCCACGAAACAAACGUGGCCAGAAAGUUUAUUUUUGUCGACGUGAUGAUGAUCAUGGGUAAAAAAAUACCUUUCGUUUUUUUGUGGUCAGAAGGUUUACUUUUGGCGACGUGAUGUAAUCAUGGGCAAAAAUACAUUUUUGUCGACAUUUUUUUCGUGGCUAGAAAUAUUUUUUCUGCCCACGAUUUUAAUUUGCAUGAACAUUUGUGCCGACGCAACGUAAAAAACGUGGGCAAAGAAAAAGACGACGGUGUUUCGGCCACCCAACGUGCCCACGAAGAAAAAGUGUUGGCAAAAGGUCUGGCCACGUUUUUCAUAAGAAGUGUCCAUGGUUUUCUGCGUGGGCAAAGACGAAAAUUCUUGUAGUGUUUUUUGUU
rnacentral:lncRNA from 1 species